rnacentral:lncRNA from 1 species
CCCGUAGCUGUACACGUCGGACUUCUCCGUCACGCCGGCGCCCAGCAGCCACUCCGGCGCCAGGUACCCCGUCGUGCCGCGCACCGUCGUCACCACCCGGCUCUGCUCCUUCCCCAUCAGCGCCGACAGCCCGAAGUCGGAGAGCAUCCCCCGGAGGCGGUCGUCGAGGAGGAUGUUCUCCGGCUUCACGUCCAGGUGCACCACCUUGGCGCGGCAGUCGUGGUGCAGGUACGCCAGCGCCUUCGCCACGUCGACGGCGACCUGGUACCGCUGCAGCCACGUCAGGCACCGCCCGCCGCCGCCGCCACCGUGCUGCGGGAAGAUCCACUUGUCGAGGGACCCGUUCUCCAUGAACUCGUAGACGAGGAAGCGCGGGCCGUUCCGGACGAGGCAGAAGCCGAGGAGGCGGACGAGGCUCACGUGCUGCACGCUGCCGAUCGCCGACACCUCCGACCGGAACUCCUUGUCCACGUGCGGCGACCCGUCGAUCCGCUUCACCGCCACGGCCGUGCCGUCGUCGAGGAUACCCUUGAACACCGUCCCCGACGAGCCCCGCCCGAUCACGCACUGGAAGUCGUCCGUCGCCGCCGCCAGCGCCUCCAGCGAGAACCGGCUGGGCAGCCCGGCGACCUUGCGGAAGAAGCUGUACUCCACGCGCACCGACACCUCCGCGCCGCCGCCGUCCAUCGCCGGCCGCCGCGCCAUGCGCUCGGCCCGCCCCUGGUGGCACAGCAGCGCCGCUACGGUGCCCGCCAGCACGGCCGACAGGAUGACCGCCGUCGAGAGGUAGAAGGGCCGAGACAGGCGGAAGCAGAGGAACAGGGAGAGCUCGAGGGCCGCCAGCACGACGGCCGCCACGCCGGCGAGGAUCUUGGCCGUCUUGCCCUCCAUCGAUCACGCCAACGCCAUCACUUCACCGCCCGGCGGCGGCGACGCCGCUCAGCUUCACCAGUUCACCACUCGCUCUGACUUGGCGUUCUUGCACUUCGUCGUCGCUAUCCGAGCUAGUUUUGACGCGAUGCUUGGUAAAUAUACACAUGGGAGAUGAGAGAGAUGACAUGCAACUCUUUUGACGAAUUUAACGACAGCGAUGUCUCAACCAAUCCUUGAGGUUUGGUUCUUAACAGUGGCUGUGUCGCAAUAUUCUGACUUGAUCAGAGAAAGGAUACGGUAGGUAGGGGGAGAACUGGAGAACGGUUCAGAUGAACAAAUGGAUCAAAUGGCAAUGCAGUGCAGAUGGUAUCCCUGUCAUGUCGAAUUCAACAUAAAUUUCAUGUGCAGUGAAGAAACCAUCACUUGAAUGGUCAAACUGAGGAAAGAGCACACUGAUUCAACGGCUCGGGUGACAUCAGUGUGUAGUGGAUUUGUGUGGUGUCGGUGUCUCGGUGUCUGUACUUUGGCCAAAUCCAAAGUUGAAUGUUUCGUCCAUAACGGUUCAGCAUUUAAGCAACAUCAGUGAUUCAGCCACGUUGGCAUUUGGAAACUAUAGGAGAAACAAUGUUAUCUUGACUGUUUCGUUGAAGCCUCUGCUUAUCUGAUAAAUUCUCAGAGACAGCAACUGCAAUUUCAGCAGACCAAGGUGUGAGCAGUAUUCACUAUUCAGACAACAAAUCUUCCAUCAGCGGAUUUGUAAAGGCGAACGGGGAACAUAGAAUCAACCAGACAAAUAUGCUUUUUUUUAUCUUGAUUCAGCACAACAUCUGAUUGAAUAGCAAAAGUACAUUGUUGCGUAACGAAUUCCAUUAUUUGUAUAGCCGAGUUUCUUAAGUGAUUACUCCAGCUUCCAAGCUAUGGGAUAAUCAGGUUGACAUGGUCUACUGAACUCUAUAAGGCCCAAAGGCUGAAGUUUUCCACAGCUUCACAACACUGCGACAAAAACUGUAUCAGGCACCCAUUUAUUGCCAUGUCCUACAGAACCUUACUGAUGGUGGUCGUCGUCAUCAUCAUGUCCAUCAGGUGAUCCUCCUUCUCCAAUCACAUUAAGCUGCAGAGAUAAAGAUGGAAGCUUGUAACUCAGCAAACGUUUGCUCUUGGAAUGCAAGGACCUUAUCAGGAAACCAACGUACCGUGAAAUAUUGAGUACAGACCGGGCAUUCAUGUGGCUUGCCUCUCUCCAACCAAAACCACACCACAUCAUGCUCAUCUUCUGCAGAAGGUCAAUAACAAUUGCAGUAUAGGCCAAUUAGAUAACUGAAGGGUUCAUGAAUGUUUCUAAAUAAUUCAUUUUUUAUCUAGAUAAGAUACAGGUGAGGAUUUGAAUUCUGGAACCCUCUUGGUUGAAACUUGAAAGACUCAAGGGAUAUUUAGCAUCAGCAGUAGUGUACCUCCUUCACCGCCAGGACAACCAACAAUCCUUUUGUUGUAGUAUGACUGAAUCACAGCAGGAGCUUCCUAUUCAAGGAACAACAUAGACAGAUAUCAGUUUAGCUGAACACUUAAACCACACAAGAAUCAAACAAAUCUAACUAAAAAAUUAUGCAAAUGACACAUGUAAGCAAAACCACAAUUCAUAUAGCACACUACCAAGUGAUUCACUGAAUUCCCAACUGAUGUCAGUCAAAAGACAAAGUCAUGACAAUAAUAAACACAAAGAAGAAUCAGUCAUACAAAGACCAUCUAUGCAGCGCGUUACAGAAAUUCAGGAUAGCCUACGUUAGAGUCUAAGAAAUACAAAAGACAGUCAUCUAAGAAACAGCAGAUUCCACUUCAAGAACAGAGUGACUUCUAUUGAGUCUUCCAUAACGAACAGGAAAGCGUCAUGGAUUGUUGAACUAGAGCUCUUCACUACAGUCUACAGCAAUGCUUAUUUGGACAGGGAACACACUGAAGAAACAUAUGUAACCUUGAGCCAUAGAGUUUUUCAAAUGAAACUACAGUUGCAUGAUAAAGUCUUAAAUUGAAUUCUGAAACAACACCAGAAAGAUAAACAGCAGUAAACAGAACAAGAAUCACAAGAUAAUCCAAUCAAAUAGCAAAAUCAAGAUGCCUGUAGGUAUUGAAAUUCAAUAGGUGUUCCAUAAUUGGUGCUUAGAAAUUAGUAUGCUAAAGAAAACCUGAAAAGUAGAUUUAACAUGCUAAUACAAUUGAUCUACUAAAGUUAGAGCAAAUUCAAAAUGAUAAAAGCUUCCUUUUUUGAAAAUGCAUUUGAUGAAAGUGUGUGAGCCAACACUAUUAUAUGCCGCAAAGAAUGACCACAAGCUACAAACUUAUAUAGGCCCAGAAAGUCCAAACAGAACUGGAUAGUUUAAACUUAAGAACAAUUCAUUGGUCUCAUAAUUAUUGCCAUAAAUCUUCCACAACUCAAGAAAAAAACACCCAAUGGUGGAGAUCAAAUCCAUCUACAUAUGUGAGUUGUGACACAUUGCCCUGAAUAAAGUAAAGAAGACCAGUGAUUGGUCAGCUCUUAUCCCAACAUCUGAAAAUAUACUCUGUAUCUUCACCUAUUCCACGGAAUAUGUUCAAACAAGCAUCUCAUCUCACGCGGACAAACAAAUUAAUCUAAACGAACACAUAUCACAUCCGCAACCGCAAGUCAGAUGAUUGCACAUUGACAUUUCAACACAUAUUCACAAGUCACAACCCCAUCCAAAGCAACCGAUUCAGUGGUCCCAGUUGCUCACGCAUCAAAGGGAAUGUAGAAGAAGGUAUUAGACGGAAAGCCCUCACCUUGGUGCCAAAGGGACCGACGGGGGCGUCCAUGUCGAAUCUCUUCUUUCCCUGUACAGAAAAAAAAAACAAAUCCAACAAAAUUUAAUAUUUUUUACCAACAUAUGACCUGUAAUAAGAAAUGAAGCGGCUGCAACCGGGCAAAGCGGCCGUGCGGGGAGACCUGGAGCUCGGCCUCGAUCUCCUCGCGCUCGAGCCCCGUAGCGAUCGGCAUCACGUCCUCAACCCUAGUCCUCGUCCGGGCCGCAUCUGAAGAAAAACGCAGCCUUGCCAUCAAAUCGGGGCUACGGCCUGAGCUUGUGAGAAACGGGAAGGGUCGUUACCGAGAGUGGAGAAGACAAGGGGCGCCGGAGUACGGCGGAGACCAGGCACGGUGGCAGCGGAGACCGCCGGGGAUCGGGGGAGCAGGGCGGAGCGGUGGUGGCGGAGGAGGAGGGAGGUGGCGCGCUUCCACAUGGCGGCCGGUGAAGGCAGCGGCGGCACGAGCGGACGGUGGAGAGAAGAUGGAGAGGGUGCCUACAAAACAAGAAAAGGCUCCUGCCAAUUUAGGAUAUUUAAUUAUUUGCCGUUGAGAAACCACUUUUAAAAUGACACCGGCAUAUUUGCCGCCAGAGACGUUUUACUAACAAAAUUGCCAAUUUUGCUGACAUGUCAAGCCACGUCCUCACGCCAGGAUGGAUUAAGCAUGACAAAUGACCAUAAUACCCCUGCAUUUCUUCUCCAAGCAUGGGUGCUUUUCCUCUCUUCCUCCCUCUCUAUCUUUGACCGGUGGGACCCACCCUCUUCUUCCACCUCAAGGUGAAGCUCAACAAGACCAGGAGCACGUGCAGUGAUGACCUCCAAUGGCAGGUCCCAGGCGCCGGAGCAUCGCAAUAUCUUGGCAGGCGCGGAGGGCCCCUGAAGGUGUGGCCCCAGGCUUCCUCGUUGCCGGCCCCAGCCCUAUCGACGUACCUGGAGCUGCCACCGCCGCACCCCGCCGACGCGGCCGCCCGCCCAAGCCGCGGGACCUACACACGCCGCCCAAGAUCCCACACCCGCGCGCUCGCCCGCGCACGACCCCCCGCUCCGUGACGAGGGUGAAGGCACUCUUCGCGACCCACUCUCUGUCUCGUCGGCGCCGCCGUCCCGAAACUACUUGAUCUCCGCCGCAAACCCGCCUCCUGCACUAGCACUACCUGGCUGACCCACCGGCCCACUGGCAAUCUCCAUGAAGGCGUCGAUCAAGUUCCGCAACGACGACCGGCCGCUGAUGCAGGCCAAGGUCCCGAUCGGCGUGCUCGGGCUACCGUUCCAGUCGGGGCUCACAGCAGGGGCAACCCGCGGGAGCUCCGCUUAAAGUGGGGUGUGUGCUGUCCCUAUUGGGCUGGGCCCUUCCCCAUAAGCCCUCAUCGUCGGGGCAUAAGCGCCCUUCUUCGACCGCUCCACGGCCUUCGCGUCGAGCCCAUCGCUCCGCCUCUCGUACUGCCCCAACAAACCUGGCCUCCCCUUCGCGCUCACCGUCCGCGCGGGGCUCGGCCUGCUCGGCUCCCUAGCGCACGAGCCCUUCGCACUCACCGCCGAGUUCAACCUCCUCUCCCCCAACCUUUCCACGCCGGCCUUCUUCCUCCAGCUUCAGCCCCACCUCGGCGACUUCUCGCUUUCCCACACGUUCCGCUCCCCUGCCGCCGCCGCCUCCCCGACGCCCCGUAAGGUCAGGGAGGCGGCUCCCGACGGUGACGGCCUCGGCCACGAGUGAGAGUUCGUGUACAAGUUAUCGUUCUCGUUCACCGGGAGCGGGCUCGCGGCGGACGUGGCAGCAGCGGGGACGAAGAAGAGGGUGACGAGGGGUAUUAUGAUCAUUUGCCAUGCUCAAUCCACCUUGGCGCGUGGACGUGGCUUGACACGUCAGCAAAAAUGGCAAAUAUGUUAGUAAAACUUCUCUCUGGUGGCAAAUACGUAGGUGUCAUUCUAAAAGUGGUUUCUUAAGGAGUGUCAUUUCUAAGGAUGGCAAAUAAUUAAGUAUCCCACCAACUUGGGUGUUUGACUGUUUUCGGCCUAUAGACCGGUAUACGGGCCCGACGCCCCGACUUGGGUUGGUUGUAAAAUUUUACAAAUUGAAACAAAGUAACUAAUUUGAACUACUCGAAAACAGCAAUUAUAUGCACUCACUUUGCACUAUUGUUAAAUCUAAGAAUUGUUUUUUUUGACAAAAUAUAGCAAUUGAUGACUGGGCUUGAAAAUGACUAAAACAUUCUACAAACAAGUGGGCUGAUGUCGAUGCUGAGGUUUCGUGCUUAACUCAAAAUAACACCAUAGGAUGGCAUAUGGUUCUUGCCAAAGACGGUGAAUCCACCAAAUUGUGAUGUUUGUAAGCAUUAAAUUACUUGAUUAAUAUAUGCCCCCUUUUUAAAAAGAAAUACCAUGGGAUUUGAAAAAAGCAUUUGUUUAUUGCAUACAUUGUCAAAAUUGCUAUCAUGCUGUACCAACUACUUUCAUACGAAUAGCAAUUAUGCAUUUUUUACACUAAUGAAAUUCAAAUAAGAUACAAGAAAAAUUGAAGCAAAUAACUUUUUUCCCUUUUUUCUAAGGAUGGGACAUAAUAAGUACCAAACAUUAUGAAAUGAGCUUAUAGUUUUUUUUUACCGAAGUCAGCCCUAAACUAUUUUUUUUAUUUUUAUUUCAGACCAAAGUACCAUCCAACAAGCAUGAGUACGACUCUCUAUCAGAGCGAAUUAACAAAUGAGCUUAUAGUAUUACCUAGUAAAAGAAAAAAAGAAACUCAAUAGGUAACUCUAUCUACAUUGUAACGCUCUAGAUUUCUGAAUGGAAACAAUCACAUGAAUUGAUCCAAACUUAAAGUUCAUCCGAAGUACAACUGAAUUUCAACUGGCCGGUUGAGCGUGAGCUUCCAAAUUUAGUAACACAUCAACCAGAGCACGAAAAACAGAGAAGAUCCAAGGGCUGACAUUCAUCCAAACCACCCUUUAAAAGACACACCUCCAUAAACCCUAGCAAUCAAGCAUCUUUCCUCUCAAAACUCGCGAAAACCCCCUGUCGGCUACCCCCCACACCCGCCUCCACCCAUGGCGUCCCUCCCUAACGGCGCCGCCGCCGCCGCCGCCGGUUCCUCCGGCGCGCGCCCGGUGGACAAGGAGGUGGACUUCGCCAACUACUUCUGCACCUACGGCUACCUCUACCACCAGAAGGAGAUGCUCUGCGACCGCGUCCGCAUGGACGCCUACCACUCCUCCGUCUUCCGCAACGCUCCCCACUUCCAGGGCAAGGUGAGGAAUCCCUGAAUCCCCUUAAAAAAUCGUUUUUUUCCAGCAAUUUGGGUGUCUGAUUUGAUGAAUUUGGCGGAUCUGUCAGGUAGUCCUUGACGUGGGUACCGGGAGCGGCAUCCUUGCCAUCUGGAGCGCGCAGGCCGGGGCCAGGAAGGUGUACGCCGUCGAGGCGACUAACAUGGCGGAGCAUGCGCGCGAGCUCGCGCGCGCCAACGGCGUCGCGGACAUUGUCGAGGUGAUACAGGGCACCGUGGAAGACAUUGAGCUGCCGGAGAAAGGUGUGCCUUAAUUUCUUGAUUCUUCUUCUUACUGCUGUUCCUGAAUCCUAAGUCGAUGGUAAAAUUAAGUAAUCUAUGUCCCAAUUGGAAAGGCAUUCCAACUAUAUGACUAUAUGAGCUACAUGCUUUUUUUAUUAUAUCAGGUGAAAAUUUCUAAUUUACACGAAAUCUGGAAGUUACGAUGUGUCGAGUGUUGACUAUGUUUCUGUAUGUUGUUUGGAACUGCAGUUGAUGUCAUUAUAUCAGAGUGGAUGGGCUACUUUCUUUUGAGAGAAUCCAUGUUCGAUUCCGUCAUUUGCGCGCGUGACCGCUGGUUGAAGCCAGAUGGUGUAAUGUAAGUGUAUGCUGCAAGUUACGUUAACAAACACUAUCAAAGUUCUUCUUAGAUAGAAAACAAAUCCCCUUUUCAAUCUUUUGUUCCUGCACACAGAAUGCACAUUUACUUUGUGUAAGAUCAUUCUUUUUGCAGGUAUCCUAGUCAUGCUAGGAUGUGGCUAGCACCCAUAAGAACUGGUUUGGGUGACAAAAAGUUGGAAGACUUGGAUAUUGCUAUGGAAGACUGGAGUCUAUUUGUUCAGGACACUCAAGCUUAUUAUGGAGUCAAUAUGAAUGCUUUGACAAAGGCAUAUCGUGCAGAACAUGAAAAAUACUAUCUGAAGGUAUGUUAUCUUCGUUUCUCUUCUCAUGCUGCAGUCAUGGAAUUUAAAAUUCAGGGAUUUUCUUAGCUUGUGAACACCUUAUAUCUUUUCAUAGCAAAUUAAUGUGUCUCCUUUUAAGUAAGUAUAACAAAUGUGUUGCCACGCCCUUCUGAGUAAUUGGAAGAAUCAAUAUCCUUUUCACUUAUUUUGAAAUACUUGUAGUUAUACAAGCCUAUAUUAUUUUCUCCAUUGAAAUUUGAGCCCUGUUAUUUUAAUUUAGCCUUUUCAUCCUAUGAAGCAUGCCCUAGGUGUUUAUCCUAAAUCUGGGUAUCCUAAAAGCUCUUGCUAAGAAAUCAGCAUGCAAAGAGCAGCGAAUGACUAAGCCUGUAUGUUUCAUGGGCCUUUCCCGCUCACUUAAUGUUCACAUGAUUGUAUCCUUCUGCAGUCUUCGAUAUGGAACAAUCUCCAUCCAAACCAAGUUAUUGGCCAACCUGCAGUUAUUAAGGAAAUUGAUUGCUUAACAGCCACUGUUGAUGAGAUUCGAGAAGUUAGAGCACAAGUUACGUUGCCAAUCAGCCUGGAUGGAACUAGAUUAUCAGCACUGGCUGGAUGGUUUGAUGUUCAUUUUCGAGUAUGUGAGACUUAAUUGCAGCCCACUUCAUCUUAUGACAAUGUUACGACUUAUGCAAGGUGCUCAUUAUGUUUUAUGAUAAUUUUCAGGGUAGUGCGCAAAACCCUGCUGUGGAGGAAGUUGAGUUAAACACUGCUCCAGUUGAGCAUGGGGGAACUCAUUGGGGCCAGCAGGUUGGUUUCCUGGAACCAUUGUUCUUUGGUAAUUCCUAAAAUAUGUUACGAGAUAUAGCUUAUAGUUACAAAUUGUUCAAUCCUAUUUUCUACUUCAACUUGUAAAUGUUGACCCAUAACGUAAAAAAAUUGUGUGCACUUAAGGAAAAUAUGUCUGUUUUCUUCUUUGAAUUUUUAGUAUAGGCAGGAGCAGGGAGCAAACCUUCUCUUGACUCCUGCAAAAAGAAGUCAAGAUGUUAUGGAUGCUCUUAUGAAGAAAGAAACUUGUUUUAAGAUACAUAUUUAUUUCACCGAAAUCAGUAUAUUAUGGGUGCUCUUAUUUGAAGUGAUAACUUUUGCAAAACAACACUCUUUUUCAAUUGAUUGUGUCAUUAUUUUAAUGCAUGCCAUUCUUAAAUUAGUAGCUGGUCUGGAAAAAAAAUCAUCAGUUUUCUUUUUUCUUUUCAAGGUAUUCUUGCUGACUCCACAUCUGAAAGUAUCUAAAGGAGACAAUGUUAAUGUUUCCUUCUCGAUGGUUCGCUCAAAGGAAAACCAUCGACUUAUGGAUAUGGAGUUCACCUAUGAAUUGCAUGAGUUCUCUGGCAGGAAGCACCCAGCAGUCACAACCAAGAUGUACUUGGAGUAGAACAAGGUUCAGUUCACAAAACUAUGAUUUGCUUAUGAAUUUCGAUUAAAUUGGUUUUGUUAUUAUAUCAUAUGCAAAUGCAUUGGGUGAUAAUGAAGAUCACUAUUCACUAUUGUUUGACAAAAUGCCACUGAUUUAUGCUUUGACAGAAUGCUGACCUGAUUCGUUCGAUGAAAGAUGGGACACCGAUAACCAUGUGUCCUGCUGUCGCGGUCGCUGAACCUUUAAACCCUUGCUCAGAAGCUGAGCAACUGUAAUCCUUAGUAUGAUGUGUGGUAUUAUACAUAGCAUGGGCUUUAAGGUCACCGUGUGCUAUACCCAUGAUUUGUACAAUGAGACCAUUAGGCAUGAUUUAGUGCCAGAGAUUUUGUUGUAUUGGUAAUAUCUUAUUGUUUGAUUAUUCGAGUAGUGGGAGCCAUUGCUUCUCAAUGUUGAUGUAUUGGCCGGUGUUGAUCCACAUUAUUACGGUAUUUAUACUCUUUGGUGGAGCUCCUGGGAAAUACUGUAGCAGCUGUUUUGCACUGUAGCGAGAAGCAGUUGCGCAAAUUUACUGUAGAAAAGCUGCUGGAUUAUAUCAUUAAAUUUCUGGAAUCUGCUGCCAACAUUUGCUCAAUUCAUCUGUUCUUUUCAGUGUCUGCCCCCUCAAAUUUGCCAUUCCAUUUGAUUCAGAUUGGAAUUGGUGCAUGCGAAAGUAACCUUAUUGACUAAUACAAGGCACCUCAGUGUAGCACCGGCAUUUUAGUAUUUACAUCCAAAAUACAUUACAGCGUAGCGUAUCGUCUUGUAAAUGCUUUACGGGGUCACCUAAUCACCAGAAUAGCACAGGCAUUUUAGUAUUUAUAUCCACAAUAUAUUACAGCGUAGCGUCCUGUAGAUGCUUUGCGGGGUGUAACACCCUAAUUUUCAACUUUUGCAAAUUAAUAAAAUUUGUUAGAAUUUGCUAGAAUUUAAUGGUGUGAGUUUAAGGAUUUAAGAAUUUUCUAGGUUUUAUUUAAUUUCCUAGGCAUUCAAAUAUUUUUCUGAAAUUUAAUUAAUGAAUCAUAGGAAUUUAUUGUUCCAUUCAUGCUGGUGCAUUGAUUUUGCUUGUUUGAAUUCAAAUUUAUAUUUGAAUUCAUUUGUUUGAUCCUUUUUAAACAAUAGGAAAAUAUUUCUCUUUCUCUCUUUUGGUCCGUUUCUCCUUUCGGCCGGGCUCCGCAGCAGUAGCACCGCGGGAGCCAUCCCAGCAGUGCCUCCUCCACGCCGACUCGUGUCCCACAGCCCAGCACAGAGCCGGCCCGCUCCUUCACCCGUCUCGCUAACACGUGGGGCCUAGCCGUCAUCCCUCGGCCUAUAAAACCAAGCCGCCGCACCCCCCAACCUCACCAAACUGUAGCGCCCUCACCUCGCACCCAGCAUCGCCGCCGCCCGAGCUCAAACCCGCCGCCAUCGAUCUCUGCUCUCACCGCCUUGCCGUCGACAAGAGCACCGCCCGGAGGUUCGCGUCGUGGUAAGGAACCCGCCGGAGGUCCUCUCGUGCGCUCCCGUGCCCUUUACCACAUUCCCAAGCUCGUUGGAGCUGCUGGCCCACCGCCGAGUCGCCUCUCCGAGCUUCACGUCGCCGUCACCGCUCUAGCUGCCGCUCCAAAGACCUAGAUCAGUUCGCUGUGCACCCAGCUUCGUCCCGAGCCAGCCCCAUCGAAAACCGUGAGCCGCCGCUCAAGCUACGCUCGAUUCUGGCGAGGUCCCCUGCGCGCCGCCGUUUAGCCGCUUCCAUCCCGGCCGUCCGCAGCCGUCCGAUCGAGAGCCGACGGCCACGAUCAGAUCCGACCCGGGUCAAUACCGGUCAACCCCGCCGCCGCUCUGUACUUUUUGCUAAAGAAACCCUGAAUUUUACAGUUUUUGCACUUGAGGCCCUGCACAGUUAAAAAGUAAUUAGAUUUAGAUCCUUUUACUUCUGUUUAGGCCCCUCCUCUUUUAUAAAAUCCCACCCACAAUCCUGGAUCUAUUCUUUUACGCUUUAGACCUUCUGUUUAUAUGUUUAAUUAGAUUUUAGCCCUCGAUUUCUUUAAGUUUAGUCCCUGGAAGUUUAGUUUUCCCUCACUUAAACCCCUAAACCUUGUUUAGCUCAUAUCUUUAGUGUUUUAAAAUCCGUUUAAAGCAUUUCUUGCACCUAUGAGUUCGUGCUGAUGCGUAGAUUUGUUGUAUGAUUUUGUUUUGCUCUGUUGCUACUGUUUGAUGUAAUGUUUUCUUUUUUAGUUCUUUGUUUGCUUGUAUGUACUUGUUUCCUGCGUAUUUGCUGCGCAUAGAAGGAUCGCAGUUCGAGGGAUUCGAAUAGCAAGGCUUUGAGCAGUAAGAGCCAGUUCAAAAAGGCAAGCCGUGCCCUUGAUCACAAUUUGAUCCUAUGCAACCUUUACUUUUAUGUUCAAUACACAUAUGUUAUAUGUUAUGCACUUUAAGUAUAUAAACAUGAUUGGUCCUAUUUAAGGUGUACCUAGUUUUAUCCCUACGCCUUGAUCAACCUAGAUUUACUUUAAUGUUGGGUAGUGUCGGUGCGGAAUCUGGCCGACUAGUAAAUAUAUUAGUUUUGUCGUGCGUUAGAUCGGAUGUGUCCUAGCACUCAAUGACACAGGAUGUAUACUGGUUCGUGUACCGGGCCCUACGUCCAGUUCGGGUCGGUCGGUCGACUAUAUUCCUGAGCCCAGGUGCUCGAAAUUUGUAGUGGGGUUACAAACGAGUGAGAAAUGAGAAGGGGAUGUUUGAGACCCGGUCGUGCUAUGGCCCAAGUGGGAGAGAGUGAUAGGGGCUCAAAUGUGCGCUAUAUGUUCGAGAGUGCGUUCGUCUAUGUUUCUCGUAUGUCAGAAGGUUUCUGAUGAUGUAUUGCCUAUCUUAGAUGUGGAGGGCCCAUCCCCUUUUAUAGUGCAAGGGGACGGCCUUACAAGUCAGAGAGAGAGAAAGAGUGUGUGCGGGUGCCGUCUAGUCUUGUCGAUGCCCACGUCGUCGGGUAUCAUACCGCCGUCCUCCGUCGCUAUUCAUCUCGUCAGUCCACUCCAUUGUAGCGGGUAGGUUGCAGCGGCACUGUGCGGGGCGUGCGCAGGGCGUGGUGUGGUACGGUCCUUUGUACGGUGGUUGACCUGGGCGCUUUCCCUUAUUCGCUCCACCUACUCCCCGGGCCCUAACCGAGCGGGCGUCCCCGGUCAGUUGUCCCGGUCGGUCCCGACCGUGUCGGUCAGGGGGAGCGGUGUGCGUUGGUACGACACAUCCCCAGUUGGGGGGACUCGGUCGGAGUCGGACUGUGGUCCCGGCGCCAUCCAAGCCUUCCGAUCGGGGCGCCGACCCGGCCUUCCGGUCGGAGGCGCCGGUCGGUGGCCGGAUCUUGGUCUCAGCCUAGCAUUGCGUAGCUGGGCCGGCCCUAGGCGCGCGUCGCCGUGCCUCUUGUUGGCCGAGCGUUGCGGGAAGGCGGGCCCUUUGGGGACCCCGGGUCUAUGGACCCAUCAGGUAGUUCUUGCUUAGUUGUUCUAACUGGGUAUGGUGGUAUUAAUGACCUAAUGCUUAAACUUAUUUUAUUUACGCUAUGCCUUCCAUUAAUACAAGAUCACCAUGUUUAAUUGGAACAUGGAGCGACCACCCAAGAAAAUAGUACAACCAUAAGAAUUACAUGGCUCUGGUCUUGGCUAAUUAAUUAGAGACUCUAGUUUGGAGCGGUCUUACCGAAAGGGUAAGAGGGGUGGCAGCAGAUGGGUAUAACUUAACCCUCAGACUGAUCUGCUAUAUAGUAGCUUCGCAGUCUUGAGAGAGGUUUAUGCUCUACUACUAAUCCGGAAACUUUAGCAGGCUACUUCUUAUUAGGGAAUCUUUAUAAAGAUCUCAUAGCGUUCCUAUACAAUCACACCUCGAAAGUGUGGUAUUGUGCCUGGCCCGCACAACAUGGUUGGGUCUAAAGUUCUUUUCAGCUUUUACGCGACUUGUAGUGAAAGUGUACAACUUCUGCAGAGUGUAAAACUAUUAUAACAGCCGUACUCACGGUCAAGAGCGGUCUGGUUCCUCGCAUGAUUAAUUUAUUGAAAGUUGAAUUAAAUUGAUGUUAUUUAUUGUUGUUAUAUUUAUUUAUGUAUAUGCUUAAUGUGGGGUGGUGUAAACUUAUACUUAGUACAAUUAAAUGCUGAAAUGCUAUUAAACCAUAGCCUCCUUGAAUAGCCUUACACUACAUAUUUCCCCACACUUAUUGAGUACCAACCAAUUAAAUGUUGAAAUGCUAUUAAACCAUAGCCUCCUUGAAUAGCCUUACACUACAUAUUUCCCCACGCUUACUGAGUACCAACCAUAAGUGUACUCACCCUUGCUAAAACCGCUGCUCAGACCAAGUCAACUUUGAGGAGGUUCUGGAAGACUUUAAGCCACCAGUCAACUGCUUGUGGAGUCGUCGUCAUUGUUGGAGUUCCGCUGCUAAAAUAAAAGCUUGUUUUGCUAUUCAAAUUUAAUACUUUCAGUCAUGUAAUAAAUAUAAUACCCUCUCUUUACGUUUUGGCAUUGUCUAUGAUAUUUACUGAAGUCGUUGCAUGUAUGAAACUUGAUCCUGACGCAUAUAUAAUUUAUUCAUCUAGUUUUGCCUGUGACACGGAUUCACCUAGUCCCCAAAAUGGGAUUUACAGUAUGUAUGUACACCGCAAACAUGAUGCUGGCUUUGCCGUCGCUCUUCAGAGUAGUGCAUUUGGCCAACUCCCAGGACAGGUUCAGUUCUCCCAAAAACAAUCAUAUAAGGAGCGUUCUUCGUGCCAAACUUUUGCACAGUACAAAUUUCUUUAACUUUUCUUCUUGUUGGCUCCUUUUCCCUACUUCAUCAACAAAAGUGCAUCUCGGUGACGACCUAGGAGGGUCAAUGCGGUUGCAGCUAUGUGGUGAGCAGUUAGGCCAGCCAAGUCGAGUUGCUCAGCAAGUGAAGCAUGUUCGAUAUACCUGUCUGGUAGCACAAUGGGUCGCCACUGCGAGUUACAAAGAAAAGUAGACCUUGAGAUUAGCAUACAGAAACAACAAAAAUUACCAAACAGUAACCUUGAAGUUACUACUAAUGAACACAUCAAGAGGGCUGAAGAAUGUAGCUUGGAUGCAGCUGGAGGCUCCAUUGCAAGAACACAUAUAAAGCUUUGGAACCUAAAAAUAUUCCUUGAAUUGAAUAAAAUCUGGAGUUGUAUUGUAUAAGUGAACAUGAAUUUAUUAUCAUUCAAUGAGCAUCUUGUAUUUCAUAGAAAUUGGGGGUUAUAUAGUCCUUACGUAAGGGCCAGCCUAUCCAACUUUCAGGCAUUAAGAUACGUUUAAGACGUGGAUGAUUAUCAUAAGAAAUUCCCACCAUAUCAUAAGAUUCGCAUUCUUGAAAAUCGGCACUUCUCCAAACACAGAAGACGGAUGGGAUUCUAGGAUUAUCUUUUUGGGCAAAGACUUUUAUGUGCUGGGUACAGAAGUUACAAACAGCAAAGUGAACUGGUGAAGGUACCUUUAUUCGGCCAUCAAGUAGACCAUCGAGUGAAAUAAACUGAGAGACAUGCGAUCCAAACCCACCAACUGUUCCUUCUUCCACUGUGAUAAGAAAACUAUGAUGCUGACAUAGCGUUCUGAUCAGAUCAAUGUCAAGUGGUUUGCAAAAUCUCGCAUUUGCAACUGUCGCCUGAAUGCCAAAGUUGGAUAAAAGAGAGCGAGCAAUCAAGCAUCUCUGGACCACCUCACCAUAGCCAAGAAAAGCUAUCUCUUUUCCCUCAACAAGAAUCUCUCCUUUACCAAUCUGAAAAAGGGCACAGAGACCAGGUAGAAAACUGCACUUUUUUUUGAAAACUAAAACUACACUUCUUUUAAAAAAAUGUUAAUGAUAAAAGGAACAGUUACGUACUUUUCAGAAAUAAGCAAAUCCUUUUUUUUUGUCAAAGCAAUGAUUUUUUUUAAUAUUUAAUGUUAAGAAUACAUACUACCUCUGUUCUUAGGACAAGCAAAUUAGUUCAGUUUUGAGGCAGUAAAGUUGUAUACUGUUUGUAACAGUUUUCCUUCCUGGUGAUAAAUUAAAUGUUGAAAUAAGAACAUGAGGUUCUUAGCUAUGUUAGCAAGCAGCUCAGCAAUACAGCAGGUGUGUUUGAAAUAUGAGAGCUGUACUAUUUGCAAGUUAUGUCAACGUGGCAAAAUAAAUUGAAGAGAACCUACCUGAAGUGGAUUUCCAUAUGUUAAAGUGCCACUAGUCCCAACAAUGGCACCCCUAGGAUACCGGAUGCAAAUAGGUCUGUCCUCAACCAUUGCAGCUGUUGCCACCAUGUCAACAAGUUCAUCCUCGUUAGAUGGUGACAUGACAAUCAUGUUUGGCAAGCAGGACAUGAAUGUAAUAUCAAACGGUCCUGAAUUAGUUGGGCCCUCAGACCCCACCAGACCAGCAUUUGUGAUAGCAAAUCGAACUGGUAUCUUUUGCAUGUCCACAUCUUCUACUAUCUGCCAUACAUGUGAGAUCUAUGAAAUGUAGUGUAAUAACAGUAAAGCAGCCUUGCAGAUUUACUGAACUAAGAGGAACUUAUGCCCACACUAACUUAGCAGCAGUAUGUGCUGGCACCUGAUCAUAUGCUCGCUGAAGAAAUGUGGAUGGAAUUAUGCAGAAAGGCUUUAAACCUCCACAGGCCAAACCAGCGGAAAAGGUAACAGCAUGUUGCUCAGCGAUGCCCAAGUCAAAAAAUCUGUCUGGGAAGCUGGACUGGAAUAAGCGGAGUGAUCGAUCCAUUCCCAUGCCACCAUGAACUACCACAAUGCACUUGUCAUUCUCUGCUUCUGCGGUUAAUGCUUCUACAAAGCAGUCAUUGUAUGUCCUAGAAAGUCCAGUUUCUAAAAAUUUAAGAAGAUCAUGGCUUGAGUUUGAAGGCCCUGUCAUCAGUUUUUUUAAAAAAAGUUAACCCAUAAAAGAUUCAUCCAAUUCAUAUCGCUUAUAUAUGCAAGAACAUACAGUUUGCAAUGAAUCUCAAAGAACAAUAAUAUCACAGUCGCAGAAGGAUAAGUACAUUAGCACCAGUAGACUCCUAGUGUACUUAUUGGAAUACGGAAACUUAAACGAGCAUGUAAAAUUUGCGACUGACAUUGAGUCCAAGUUAAAUGCUAAUUAUGACUUAUAUACAUAUGUUUUUUAAGAAAUCUCUGAAAAUUCUUUAGCAUGAGUACUGCCAUUUCCUUGUCUUGCCAUGUUUCUUCCUCCCAUACAGGAGGAACCCCAGUGCAGUGGUAACAGGGCAAGAGAGCUAAAAAUGAAAAACACUAAGCAUGCUUCCUAGCUCAGCAAAAGAAAAGUAAAACAGAAUGCAUAUUUUGAUAGUGACCUGUAUCACAGACCUUCCUCAUUUGGAGUUAUUUCACUGCUAAUAUUUCCACCAGUGUCGUUUUCAGUCCCAGUAAUUACAUGUACAAGUACUGGACCAGUUGAAUCUAGAGUUGCAACUUCCUUUAAUACACAGAUGAGAUCAUCAAUGUUAUGCCCAUCAAUAGGACCGAUAUAAUAUAAUCCAAGUUCUUCAAAAAGAGUUGCUCCAUGAGGACCUAUCAUACCACGAGCAUACUCGUCAACUUUGGCAGCAAAUUCAUGCAUCCCUUUGCCAAACCAUUUGGCAAGUCCCUAGGAAGAAAAAUUCAAAUAUCAAACUAGGGACAUUAAUAUAGCAUAAGACUAGACCAUAAAUCUCAAAGUAACAAGGGUGAAGUUGUUUUUCUAAGAAAGAAAUCAGAGUUAUAAAUUACAGGCAUUCAAAAAGUCGAACGCUGUGUUCACAACACAUUCUAAAGGGAUAUAAGCAUUUACCUUUGCAGCCUCCCUAAACCUCCUAAAUCCUUUGCUGGAUUGAAUCUUGCUGAGAGCACUAGAAAAGGCAUUGACUGACAUCUUUGGCCGGUCAUCAGCUUUAGGAAGCAAGGAGUGACAACUAUCAUUUAGAAUAACUACCAUGUUGGAAUCGAGGAAACCAGCAUGACCCAUUGCCUCGUACACCUGGCCAGCCAUGGUUGUCCAAUUACUUAUAACUGUCACUAUUCGAUUUUUUCUCCCAUUUAUAUCCCUUGCAACCGCCAUCCCUGAUAAGAAGUAACUCUCAAACUAUAGAAAGGAAAGGAUACUUUAAAAGACUACGAAGAAGCAAGAUUUAGGAAAUUCUGAACAGGGCUUGGAUUUUAUUAAGCUGUGAAACUUUUGUGAUAAUUAUUAAUUAAUCUGUCUGUAAACAUUUUAUACUGUGAGGAUUCCAUGCAAUUUCACAGAAAAAAAUAGAAUAGGAACUGAUAGCACUGAACAUAACAAUUUGUAUCAGGUUCUGUAAAUAAAAGAAAAAUCUUAGUGUUGCAUGCAUAAUUGGAUUCGAAGCUAAAUUCAACUUUCUUGAAUUUCUCAUGUAGACAAACCAUCAAUUAAAUGCGUAUAAGUGAAAACAAAUACUAAGAAAAUAACUCCUGCGGAUCUUGUCAAUUCCACAUGCAUAGAAUAGGUCUCUUCAGUAACAUACAUACAAUUUGACAUGCAAGAAAGUAAUGAACGAAGAGGCAGUACCAAGGCCAGCGGAAAGACUAUUGCAUCCAUGUCCAGCACCAAAGGGAUCAUACUCGCUCUCAAAACGAGAUGUGAAACCAGAAAGGCCAUUUUUUUGUUUAAUGGUAUGAAAGAGAGAGCGCCUUCCUGUGAGAAUCUUGUGUGCAUACGCCUGUUGUAAGAAAAUUGUUGAGCGAAAAAAUAUAGAAGAUGAGAAAGUUGAGCAGAAAUGAUAUCUGACAGUUCAAAACAGUAACAGAGAGAUGUCUUACAUGCUGACCAGCAUCCCAUAGUAUCUUAUCCAUUGGGGCAUUAAACACAUAAUGUAUAGCAAUUGUCAGCUCCACAACCGAGCGACCAGGACCACACGGCUGGCAUUUUCUGGACAUUAUGAAAGAUAUUUCGGAACGAACUUCAUCAGCUAACUGCUUGAGCUCCUGUUUUUUUAGGUAUGCAAGUGUCAAAAAAUUCUCAAAUCAUAUAUACUUAUAUACUAACUAAGAAAGGAAGGGCGAAGGAGUAUGACUCUGACGACCUUACUAGAUAGAUUUUUCAAAUGAAUGGGCGCAUCAAUUGUGUCCAGGAUUGGAGUAGGAUCCUUCUCCCAGAAAAAAUCAUCGACAUCAGGUAGCGCGGCCACUCGCUGAGUCACGCCCUGCACAAGAGUUGCCCUAUCAGAUCACAAAACUUGGAAUUUACUCCAGGUCAAUAACAAUAUACUCAAGUUUGGAGCUAAGCAUCAACUCUGAAACUGAAAAGUUCAUUUUGUGAUUUACACAUUGCAACGCUAGAAAGAGCAUACCCUUAAAGGUGAAGCAGACAGUGUUUGGCAGGGCCUUGAGUCUGUCGGGUUGCAUCUCAAAUAUCGCAGAGGAUGGAAACGGUAGCUUGUGGAGUGAAGAACAGCAAACUCGUCAUAAACUAGAUUACGAGCAAGCGGAGAACGCAGAAACGCCGUGUCCAUGCUGGAGCCGGGCGUAGCUGGUGCCCCAAAUCCUGCAAUUUGACGAUCAAUUUAAGAAGAAAGUAAAAAAAACCUGAAUUGGAGGAAGACAGCUAGCUGAAUCUGACGAGCAAGCAGCUUCUUCCCCACAGCCAAAACCACCAGCUGCCAAUUAGCUUAAACACAAAACGGAAAUGACCGCGUCUACCUCAAAUCCAGCCUCCCCAGCUACUCAAACCGGCAGAAGACGCCGCCGCCGCCUCUCCUCGCGUGGGACCGGCGGCGACGCGGUCGGAUGCGGCGGCUCCUGGCGCCUUGCGUGGGGGGCAGCAAGGCCAGCAGCCCUAGCUCCGAUUUGGGUGGAUGCGGAGUGUCGCGCUGUACUGGCGACAUGACAGAGAGGCUAAUCCCAACGGAAAUUUCUAAUCUUUUUGGAGUACAAGUUAAUUAGUCUUGUCUCGUAAUGAUUCCCUCCACGUCGGCUUCGUUAGUGCGGUGAGCAGUGGCCAAAUUGCGGCGCCUUUUGCCUGCGCGGGGGCUAAUCUGCGAAAACUGCGGCGUGGAAAUCCAAAUAGGGGCUAAUAUGAAAAUAAAUUGGAUCGCGAUUAACAAUAGGGUUCUUUUAAAGAUAUCCGUACCAAUUAGGGGCCCUUUUGAAAUAACUUUUGGCCUGAUAUGCAAGGUGAAGGCUUCGACCCCCCGCGCGGUGGAUUGGAUAACGCGGGACAGAAAGAUGGCGGCUUCCGCUCUCCAUCUCCGCCUCCUCCCCUCGCCGCCGGCCGGUGUGAAGCUCCAGCAGCGGCGUCUCCGCUCGGUAAGCCCCGCGGAACACCAACUAGCGCCCCCUUCUUCAGUUCUUCUCCCUCCUGCAUCUCGCCGUAUUCCUGUUUCUCCGUCUCGUGUGUGCGUGUGUGCUUUCGUGGUGCUCGAGCAUAUGCCCAACAGUGUGUGAGCAUUUCAAUUAGUUAUUUCUUUCUGAUAGUAUUCCUUUGUUUGCAAAGUGAGCAUUGUACUGCCCUUGACUCAUUGCUGCAUUUAAUGGGAACUGAAUGUGACACGUUCAAUUGCUGGUUUAGUUUAAGGCUCUAAGUUGCAGCAUGGACAUGCUAGAUUCUGAGGUUGUGUUUGUGCGUGGUGUUUGUUGCAGAGAAUACUGAGGCAGGGUGGUCUGUCUCGUAGAUAUUCAAAAGUAGUGUGCUAUUACGGGCUCACAACUCCACCAUAUAAACUGGUAUGUACGGUCAGCUCGUUGAUAUCGGUCUCAACAGAUUUUGGUUCUGUCAUUAUGUGAGUGACAAACUUUUAUUGUUUUUGUGAUGUGGUGAUCAGGAUGCUUUGGAACCUUAUAUGAGCAGGAGGACAGUUGAACUUCACUGGGGUAAGCACCAUCAUGAUUAUGUGGAGGGAUUAAAUAAGCAGCUUGCUACCAGCCCACUGUAUGGAUACACUCUGGAGGAGCUGAUAAAAGAAGCGUACAACAAUGGCAAUCCAUUACCAGAGUAUAACAAUGCAGCACAGGUAAUUUUUCGGUGAUUUAUUCAAUUUUGUUUACAUAUAUCAUUUGCUUCAUUUCACUUAUUUUCUUUCAGGGGUGGGUGGAUUACAGAUUGUGCUUGUGCUUUCACCGAUUUAUGGAUAGACUCUAGAAUUCAACCUUCUGUCUUCUGACAAGCAGGUCUGGAACCAUCACUUCUUCUGGGAAUCAAUGCAACCAGAAGGCGGUGGCUUACCUGAGGGAGGUGUGUUGCAGCAGAUUGAAAAGGAUUUUGGCUCGUUUACCAAUUUCAGGGAAGAAUUUAUUCGCUCAGCCUUACAACUUUUGGGGUCUGGUUGGGUUUGGCUUGUCUGUAAGUUUCCUUCCCAUUUUCUUUGAUGUACAAGCACUAUUGAAACUUGCUGAUUUUCUGUUGUGCUCUUUCAAAAGCUAAUUUCUAAGUUUAGGCUACAUUUUGCUGAUGUUUCUUGCAGUGAAGAGAAAUGAGAGAAAGCUUUCAGUAGUUCAUACACGAAAUGCUAUCUCCCCACUUGCUUUUGGCGAUAUUGUAUGUUUACUGGACUCCGUUUUUUUCCCCUUGAUGCGUUAUAAGUUGAAAUGUUUAGAGUAAAUUUUUCAGUAAAAACUUUGCAAUGACAACACAUUCUCUUCUUGUAGCCAAUUAUCAGCCUAGAUUUAUGGGAGGUAAGGAUAUUGACUCUUGAGUUUUAAGAUCCUACUUUGUGCUAAAUAUUGACAUUUCUCCUUUUCUGUUCAGCAUGCUUACUACUUAGACUACAAGGUAUGCUCUAGCUCUCUUCCUUUUUUGUGCUUAACACUUUUGAAAUUUCACAAAUUAGUUCUUAGAAGAAAACAUUUGCGAUGCUUACUUUUCAACUUUGCAGGAUGAUAUGCUAACAUAUGUUACAAACUUUAUGGACCAUCUCAUCUCUUGGGACACUGUCACUCUGCGCAUGAUGCGUGCUGAGUCGUUUGUGAACCUUAAUGAGCCAAAUAUUCCAGUGGCAUGAGAUACAGAUCACCCUGGUUAUCAGGUAAGAAUUCAGGAAUUUGAAGCAGCCUGGCAUACGUGCAACUUAAUCAUGUAAUUAGACGCAGAAAAUGGGGGCGCUAUUAGUUUAUCUGUUCUUAUUUUUCCAGCUAUAAGUAACCUUCAGUAGUUGCAGUAACUGAAACGCUCAAUUCAGAACAUCCAAAGAUUAUGUAAUGCUCUUUCUCAUGGCACAGCAAGGAUUUUUUUUUCGAUAAGGAAGCUUUAUUAAAUUUCAAGGGCAUUACAUCGAUGAGGAAAUAGAAUAUCAGUAUUGAGAUUCAUGCUCAUGGAAUAUCAGGUCACGUGGUGGUUUUAUGCAAACAUUUGUCUUUUCUCUAUCUUUAGUUAAGAUUGGGUUGUGACUGGUACCGGGGCUUAACCUGCAACUGAACUGAGAACUUGUGUGAUCUGGGGCUGUCUUUCUAACACGAGAAACACCAGAUUGAUAUUUAUUGACAAGGAAUACUGCUGUAAAGCACCCCACUUCCUUACAAACUAGAAUAAAACAAUAAAGCAUCCUACCUUAAGCUAGUUGAUGCGAUGUUCUUGCAUCCACUAUAUGUGAGCAUAAAAUUAUUCAGGCCUAGAGGCUACGUAGGAUAGCAGAUGGCCCAGUUAUUUUCCCUUUUGUCAGCUCAUAUAAACACAACUAUUUAAUAUCUCCUAUCAUAUUCUUUGGUGCGCAACUGUUUAAAGUUUGAUCUCUUGUUUUCAUCUACUGAACAGGUAUCCUGUGAGCUAGACGUCGGGUCAAAUCCUGCUGGAAUAAGCAGAGAGUUGCAAAAGACUGCAUAAGAGAUGCUUAUCUCUCUAUUGCCAUCUACAUGGUGAACUUAAAGAUAAGCUGCUGAGUUUGCACCAUUUCCAUUGGCUAUUGCUACAAGUUGGCAUCUAGUUUCAAGAUAUGCAACAAAGCAGCUUUAGACACCUGGGAGCACGUAGAUUAUGAUGUCCAACUUGGGCUUUGAAGCCAUGGCACUUUCUCUAGGCAGCCAUGCUUCAUUACGAGCGCCCAUAGUGUUGUUAGAAUAGAUUAAGAUCUCAAGUUUUCAUGACUUAAUCAUGCCAGCGUCUUGUUGUAGUGGAAUGGAACCGUAUUCUUGUUUUACUGGUUGAGGAAUCCUAAUAAUUUUGGAUUGUAGAUUGUAGGGAAAUCAUGUGCGUGUCGAACACUGCAAGUGUGAGUUUUAGCCAGAAAGAAAUUAGAGUUUGCGGAUUGGAAUGCAAUGCUCUAGCAAUCCAAAGCUUGCAGACACCACGGUUGAUCUGCCAGAGUUAUAUGCAUUUUUAGUUUUGCAGAAACAAACUCACAGAUUAUUUUCAGUAGGACUCUCUCCUUACCGCUGCUGCACAAGACUGUAAACACUGGAAAACUGCAGAAUUUCUAGCAGCACAGUAGUAAGCCAAUCCAGUAUAAAUUCAUUUGGAAAUUCCUAACAAAUGGGAGGCCAGUUAGAAAAGCAUUAGGACCUUUGGAUCUUGAGCUGACAUUCUCGACGAAUUCAGCACGAAUAAAAUGUAAUUGAGAUCAUCUACCUAACAAAGCAUCCAUACUCAUUCCCAGUUGCUCUUGAGCAGACAUUCUCGACGAAUUCGGUACGAAUAAACCGUAAUUGUGAUCAUCUAGCUGGCAAAGCAUCCACAAUCAUUCCCAGCUGCUCUGUUUCCGUCAUGUUAACGUCCAUAUUGCUCCCGUCAUGUUAACGUCCAUAUUGCUCGUUCGUCCGACACCGAACCCGUUGAUGGAUUCUAUGUUCUCACAUCCAUUAUAAAAGGUGAGGUCCAUUGUUCAAGCUUAGUGGCCUUUCCCCAGAUUCUCAAAUGAUGCCCUUGUAAGCUGCAACCAUAGACGAUUCUGCAGCAAAGGUGCUUUUGGACCCUUGUGAGAGCAGUUAGGAGUAUGGGCUCGCAGACAUGACAGACAGUUGCACUCAAGUCCUGACAAAGCUACCAUACCAUGGUCUCAAAUCGUUGUUGAUCUACCUUGUCUUGUGUAGGUACAAUGCCAACCAGAAUUUUCUCUUAGAUCAUACAGUUAGUUGCACCAACUGCAAAAGGACUACAAAACACACCCAAAAAGAAAAUCAUGUAUUUUAUAUUUCUGGCAAACUAUGUGCAUAGUCCAAGGCUCCAAGCAGAUGAGCAAGGCAGGUCAACCUGCUCAACCUGUCCCUUGACCUGCCACAACAGUUACACCAGACUGUGCUGGUGGUGGCAAUUCAUCAGUCACAACGUGUUCUCUGAACCUGUACUCUCUUCUUUCGAAAGGAAUCAUCGGAGUACGCAUAGCUGGGCUGUACAGAUAAAAUUUACUCGAACAAAUACGGUGGCUUUAGAAUCGGAACCAGAUGCUAACAAUACGAUGCGGCGGUUCAAACCAUGGUUACAGUACCAGUAGAAUCUUUGUUCAGGACACACGAAUGCUCGCUCAUACUGACAGAAUAACUACGACAUGGUUUAUUAUGUUCUUCACAACCAGAGUAAAGCAAUCAAGCAGGCUACUGAAUCUUCUUCAUCUCCAUCCGGCCUUGUGGAGCUGCAGGCAGGCGGCGGCCUAGUUGCAGCAGCAGCAGAGGCAGUCGAGGCAGCACUCGCAGGUCUCGUAGCAGCAGAAGCAGCACAGCGCCGUGAAGAUGCUGCGAGACAGUUAGAACAGAGACAAAUGAGAGGAAGCAGAGUUUAGUUCAGCAGAGAGAAAACUUCAGGAGAAGGGUGAGAGAAAAAUCAGGAAAAUGCCUUCUGGCAGAGAACGAUGUGAGUGAGCAUCGAUUUCACGUGCAAAUAAAUAAAGUCAACGAGAACUUGAAUAAUAGUAGAUGUAAGGGCAUGUCAGGUGGUGGUUAAUUUGAUCUUUCUUGUUCUACUUAUAUGUUGACUUUGGGAGAUGUGUGAUUAGCUCGGUUGUCUUCAGAUUCUACUCCCUCCGUACCAAAUUACUAUUUUUUUUGGAUUUUUUGAUACAAAACUUUUGAGACAUGGAUCUAGAUGUAUGUAUAUCUUGAUACGUAGCAAAAGCUAUGUAUCUAAAAAAAUCAAAGCGAAUAGUAAUUUGGGAUGGAAGGAGUAUAAGUGUAAGUUCUUCAAAAAACUGAAGUAAAAGCAGAGAGCAUAUUGUCAAAACCAAGGCUAUCAUACUGCAAAGGGAUCAGAGACAUGUAGUGAGUAGUUUUAAUUCCUUAGCUCGGGGGAAAAACACGGACGAAUGAAUUCAUGAUAAUUUGCAGGAAGAUUGCUCCAUGAAGCUGCAAGUAUUUGCAGCGUCAUAUUUCUAGGAAACUGAACCUCCAAAAAAAGCAGUGGAAAAUGAAGUUUUGACGGAUAAAGAGGGAAAGAACUGCCAGCUGAAGCUUCAGGCCGUGCAAACUGAAACUGAACUGAAUAUCUGGAACUGAAUCGGAUUUUACCAUGCGUAGAGGCAGCCCUUCUCCUCGUGGCGCCUCUGCACAUGGUCGUAGUAGGACAUCUCCUGCGCGGAUGGGGCGUCGUACAUCUUGCCUGGCCGGCUGGUGAUGAACUACUGAAGAAGGGCAAGGGUCGUCUCGUCUCCCCUGAUCUUGUUCUCAUGGAAAGGAGUGGUGGAUAGCAUUUAUAGACCAGGAAGAAGAAGGGAUGUCAUGUGCUCUGUGCUGUUAUCCUUUUCUGCUCACACAUGUGUCACGAGUGCACGGACGAAAGAGACGGUGUCUGACAGUAGGACUACAUGUGCCCACUCUGCCAGCGAUUGUUUGCUGCUGAAUCCAUGUCACUUUUUUUUUCCACCACAAAGCCCCGUUUGCAAAGCAUGAAUUUCACACAAAAAUUGCUAGAUUUUUGCAGGAAUACGGAGAAAUCUUGGCGUGUGUGUGUUCACUGCUCGUGUUCUAGAUAAACUUCUAGUCUUUGUUUCCGGCCCACUGUUAUUUCACUCAGGAUAUUUUGGUAGACUUUUCUUGGAACAAGAGGUAGUCUGUGAGUAGACAGAUCAGUUCUCUAGCUUCCGGUAGGCUGGAAAAAAGUGCAGAAAAGGUGGAAAACCGCCCAACGGCCAACUAGUUCGUCAUUCAUGUCACAGGAACAAGAUCCUUCUUCCAACUUGCCUCUAGAGUAGAAAAAUGGGGAUCAUGUCUACCUAUUUGUUUCAGCUUCUCAGAUCAGCUUUCCGGCUUCUGGCAGCUAGAAACUGGAAAGCUGAAACAAACAAUCCAGGGUUGGCGUUCGGAACGCUGGAAAGCUAAAGGCCUGUUUGGAAGGGGGUGCUGAACUUUAGCAUCCCACUUUUAGCAUCUGGUUCCCAAAUAGGGGUGCUAAAGGGAGGGUGCUAAAAUUUAGCCCCCCAUUUCCUUUAGCACCUCCAAGGGUUGCUAAAAGGUGCUAAUAGGUGCUAAAAGUAGUCCCAAGGACCACCUUUCCCCCAUUGCCCUCCCGCAACCCCCCCCCUCUCCUCCGCCGGCCAAGCCGCCUCCACCCAGCACCUCCACCGACCACGCCGCCUCCGCCCAACCCCGCAUCCUCCUGCACUGCCACCUCUUGCUCUCCGCGGCCCCUGAAAACUCAGGUCUCGUUGCCGCUCGCCGACACCGCGCCGCUGCAUGCCUGCCGCUCGGCUGACCCAUCGCCAUUGCCGUCGCCAUCCCCUUAGAUCGUGCGCAUCAACCAGGAACCAACCCCGCAGCCGGACGGCACCGAACCAGCAACAGUCGCCGCCCGCAACUACCACAGCAGCAGCACCAGUCGCCGCCGCAUUGGAUCCGUGCACGGGUGCCGCCACAGCGAUUUGGCGUGCGUGCAUGUGGCGGACGGGUGGUGGGAGCGGGGAGGAUGAGGCCACCCCUGCGGUGGUUAGGAUUUGGGGCCUCUCUCGCCUCGAAUUUUCGCUUGCCCCGCCUGCGGACGGAGACGGAGGUAGUGGUAGCCUGGUGGGUGCGGGUGUGGUGCGUGGUUGUCGCUUCGCUCGGCUCUAGAGUACGCGAGGGGGAGAGCACAUUCACACGCUCCGGUGCUCCGGCCGCUCUGCUUCUGCUUCGCCCCGCUGCGCAUGCCAGCCGCGCGGCCACCUCUCCACGCUGCCGCACGAGCCAGCCACGCCGCCCCCGAUCUACUCCAUCGGAAUGGCUGGCCGCACUGUGCCUACUCCGCCCCGUCGCGCAAGCUAGCUGCACGGCCCCCUCUCCACACCGCCGCUCGGGCCAGCCACGCCACGCCCUCUCCACCCUACCGCGCAGGCUGGCCGCAUUGUGCCCUGUCCGCACCACCGUGCGAAUCGGGAGGGGAAGCAGGCAGGGUGAGGGAAGGAGCGCCACCCAGAUCUGCUGGGGAGCUCCAACGCCGUGGGAUCCAACGUGCGGGAGCAAGCAGGGGUGAGGGAGCGCCACCGUGCUUGGGAGAGAGAGAAAGGGUCGGGGGAAGAGAGGAGCGCCGAGGACAGAGGAGAUGUGAGGGAGAGAAGGGGCUAUUGCGGGAGAGGGGUAGCGCGGGGAGAGGGCAAUGCGCCAGCCAGGGAGGAGGGAAAGGAGGGGUAAUGUUGUCUUUUGCCACCAAAGGUGCUAGAGUUUAGUACCAUAUCCAAACACUCCAAGGUGCUAAACUUUAGCCCUCCAUUUGAGGGUGUUAAAGUUUAGCCCUGGUUCCCAAACGCAGCCUAACUUCUGAGGAAAUAAACUGAAAACUGGAAAGCUAGCUGAGAGGAACUUUUUCUAACUUUUGGUGUGCUGAGAAGAUAAAAAUUUAUUACAAAAGCCAAUAGCAAAAGGCCAGCAACCAAAAAAUCAGCUUCCGAAAAGAUAGCUUUCCAACCAAAAAUCCAAAAGCAGAACCUCAAACGGCUAAGAGGUCAUCGCAGCACAUUGCUAGUACUCUGUCUAUGGUACUUGGAAGCAUCAAUCAUGCUUUGCAGAAAGAUAUCUACUAUCCAGUGGCUCUGAACAUAGCCAAUCCGAAUCACGAGUCAUGAAAAAGGGACUGAAUCCUGCUUUCAAAAAAAAAAAGGGACUGAAUCCUAACCCAAAACAAUAACAAAGAGCCGCAUAUAUGCAGAUGCAUGCUUUCCUAAAUUCGAAAUUUUGAUGAACUAGUUUUGUUAAACUACUAGUGCUCGGAACCCAUGCAGUUCCCAAGCUCCAAACCCGGUAGGCGGUAACCAAACGGAAUUACAGAAGGGAUCAGGCACUGUUACUCCAUGACAACACGACUGAACAAACGGAGAAGAAAGACGGAGAUGGUCUCACUCACCAGGCGUAGAGGCAGCCCUUCUCCUCGUGGCGCCUCUGGCAGUGGUCGUAGUAGGACAUGUCCUGUGGCGGCGGCGCGUUGUACAUCCUCGCUCCCUUCUUCUUCUCCUUUUCUCCUCUUCUCUGCGGCCGCAGUUCUACUGCUUGUACCUCAGUUCUCUUCUACCUUGUGCAGCGCAAUGGAUGAAGAUGGGCUCGUACUUAUAGACCAAACGCAGGAGAAGACACCAAUUGUCAAUGCCAAGGUAGUCACCUUGGAAGCACCCUUGCAUCGAUCACAAGUAGACCAAAUAAAAUAACAAAUAGUGGUUUUAUUUUAUUUCUAUAUCUGCAUAUGCAUCCAUGACUUAGUUUCCUUCACAUCGAAGAUUUGUUCGCAAUUGUCAUUUAUUCAAUAAUUAAUGAGAGGAAUCCUUUUAAAAUAUAGAUUGUAUAUGCUCCUUUUGUUGCAAAUUAUAGGUCGUUUUGGCUUUUCUCAUGUCACAUUUUCACCAAACCUGACCCUGUAUUCUCAUCUCGAUCAUGAUGUCAUUUGCUCUGUCCCAAUGUUAAAAGCGACCAUAUGGUGGAGCCCUCUGCGUUGGGAAGGUUAGUAAGUGGGUUCAGUAUCACUUUAUCCUCAGUGAGAUUUCUUUGUGAUGAAGUCUUGAAGACAUGCCUGAUGAUCAAGGCUGCAUCAUUUGUCGCAUGUAGUCCAGAGGUUUGUUUCAGUUCACAUGUUGUUUUCACCUAACCUUGUAUGCCUCAUCAAGUCAUGAUGUCACUUGCUAGAGCUGUCCUUAUCAAGAUCAUGAAGAUAUGGCUGCCCAAGGUGGGAGCCGAGCUUGCCAUGUGUGUGUCCUGCAACUUGCACAUGUGUACUAUGUGCUAGUUUGGCAUUUGGCUUGCUCGGAAUUGAUGGCAAAAGUCCAGGAUAGACGUCCGUGAAUCCUUCCUCUCGUGUAUUUUUUGGAACGUGUUAGCUUUUCUUCUAAUAUUUUAUUUGUUUGCUGCUCGCAGAGACUUGACUGAUGAGAUGAUAUCUCCAAGAGAUAUAUACAAAUUAUAUAUGGUAUCUCCAAGCUACACUAAUUUGCAAAUUAUAUAAUUUGUAUGUGUUGGGCUGGCACUGGCAGUUGGCUUGCUCGAAAUUGAUGGCAAAAGGGCAGGAUAAAUGUCUAUGAAUCCUUCCUGUUAUUUUUGGAGCUUUUCUUCUGAUACUUAUUUGCUGCUCGCAGACUUCACUGAUGGAGAUGAUAUCUCCGAGAGAGAGAUGAGCGUUGCCAAAAAAAAAACAAAAAAAAAACGCUGUCGAACUCGGUGAAAGCUACACGAAUUUGCAAAAUAUGCAAUCCGAGAGAAUCUCUCCUGAUACGCUUAACAUAUUCCUUAGCGCCUAAGAGAUGAGAGAAGACCAAGCCUCUAGACUAGUAGUACAUCUACAGAGCUAGAAUUAUUGGCAGCCGAACGGUAGCUUGUGGUCACGUCCUACUCAUCGCGAGAAUUUCUCCGUCCCGUUGCUGACCGCGACCAGCGGAUCGGACGUUGUUAUACGUCGUAAUGAGCUAGCAUUGUCUGCAUCGACAUGGAGACUGUGCUCAGGGGGGCCAUUUUUUUUUUUACCAGCGUGGAAUGCAGCGCGUAUCAAGCAGUCAAAGUAACUCGGCGCCGAAAUUUUUUUCCCCAAAAAAACAAAAACUCCGCGCCGAAUUAACAUGAGGUAACUGAGAACUGACGCGUGCUAGUACGUAUCAUAGCAUACCACCACGUAUGUAAUAUUCAAAAACUUAAAAUAUUAAAUUGAGUGAAAUUUUAAAAAUUUAAAACUUUUUGUUUGAAUUGUGUGCUCAUUUAAAAAUGGAAGUCAAAUUCUACUCUCAUCUAGAAAUUCCAUAAUAAAAUUAAAUCUCAAUUUAAUUCCAAACACGCGUGCUAGUUUGAUUUGGCUCUUUUUGAAUUUUGUUGAAUUUCAAAUAUGAAUAUGUUUGAAUUUUGAAUCCAAUUCUAACCUAACAUAAAAACCAACCCUAAACUAACCUAUCUAGCCUAAACUAACCCACCAGGCCGGCCCGCAACCAACCGGCCUAGCCUGCUAACCUAUCUCUCCCUGUCCCGCGUGCAGCCCAACAGGCCGGCCUGCAUAACCGGCCCAUCGGCCAACCAGCCACCGCACCCCUCGCCCUCUAUUUCUGCCGCCUCCCCCCUCUCUCCCGCCUACUCUGCUCCACGUUGCGCGCCUCGCUAGCAGACGCUCCACGCGCCCGUGACCUUCCGGAGCCUUCCACGAGGGGGAAAUCCCCACCGUGCCCCUGUAGCUCCCGCCGGCCGCGCCCAAACGGGUACUGAUGCUGAGUAUGGCGAAUGCCACCACAGAAAUCAUGUUGGUGCAAACAUUGUUGAGAGAACUUGGAGUUCAAAGUCCCAAGGCAGCAAAACUAUGGUGUGACAAUAUAGAAGCUAUAUUUCACGCCAGGACCAAACAUAUUGAGGUGGAUUUCCACUUUGUUCGAGAAAGAGUAUCACAAGGAGUUUUGCAAAUUCGACUUGUAUCAACAAGAGACCAGGUUGUAGAUGAUUUUACAAAACCAAUAACAGCUCGGCAAUUAGAAGAAUUCAGGCACAAUCUCAACUUAGACAAGUUGUGAUUGCUAAAAUAUCUAGAGUAGAGUUUGAGCUGUUGAAGAUGUAUAUUUUGUUUGUUUUGAUCUCUAACCUGCUACACGCAUUGUAACAAACUCAGUAUCCGUAACCUGGUCUGUUGAUAGUUCCAUAUAAGUACAUAACCCGGUCCUGAAAAGGGUGACAACGCUUAUACAAUUUCCACGCUACUGAUAGCGACGAUUUGUACGCGAGCUAGGAGGAUUAGCGGCCAACGAUGCUACAAUUGGCAGUAGCAGUUUAGCAGACUGUCUGCUACUGGCGAUUACGUGGGAGGUGCCCAGAGUUUUGCAUCCGGCUAGACGAAACCAUUGGAAAGCGAAAGAUGCUACUGUCUGUGUCUGGCGGUCAAAUGAGAGGUGGCCACUUGGAGGAUUACAGAGGCGUACGUACUCCUAGUAGCUUUCGUAUUGGUGGAUUGGGUUGAUCGGGCGGGGUUGCUGCAGCUGCUGCAUCGGGAUGCGCGCCGGCAGAUGGGUUAGCACGGCGGCAGCGACGCCGGUGUGACAUGAAUGGCAACGGCAAAAAUUUUGUCAUUGCUGCGAGGUCGGUGUGGGCCGUAAUGAGCCUUAUGCGGCUGGGCGCAUGCAAGAGAUCUGUGUGGUUACUUGUAUACGCUUAGCUUGGAUGCAUACGCUUAGUUUGGAUGAGAUUAGAUGAUGUUUUGUUUUCAGUACGAGUACACGUAAAGAAUAUAGAACUACUAAAAUAACAAUAAAAAAUGACUAUUGUAUGAUAUUAUAUUAUAAUAAUAUUUACUUCAUCUUACCAAGUCUUAAUCUGCUUUGAAAUAAAUUAAAACCACUUAAUAUGCAUUAAUUAUAUGCUAAUAGCAUCAUUAAAUGGACUAAUGUCCGCAUUCCGCGAGCCUGGCUCACCAGGAACGGCCGAUUCUCUCGUUUCUUGGAGCCAGGUCCAGCGGUGCUUUUUGCAUCCGGCCAGCCAGGCCUGACGCACCGUCGCAGCAGAAUGCGCGACUAACCAAACUCGGCCGCAGGCCGGGGUGGGCUGCGCGAAUUCUACUACCGCACGCUAGCUAGGCAGAAGGCAGGUGGGCCGUAGAAGCUGGAAUUUCCGUGGCAAAUCCGCUUGGCUCUGGGCUGGGCUGGGCUCUCAGUUUCAGCGACGCGACUCCUGCAUUUGGCAUCUAAAAAAAAAGCAGCCUGCUUGACGACGACACCUGUUGUGUCAGACGACAAAUACACAGAUACUCAGACAAGAUCCGUCCUUGGAACUCCCGACAGCCAAUCCAGCGACCACGAUGCUGCUGCCCUCCUCGGCCAGUCGGCCAUACCACUUGCCAUCCGUCCAAAGGGCUCCAACUCCGUGAUAUUUGAUAUUCCUCCAUGCAUCGGCCCUUCCUUGAUGCGGUGACGCCUGCGUUCAGCCUGCCAAGAACUCAACAUGUCCUCCAGCACCUGCCACUACCGAAAAACUAAACAUUCGCCCCAAGCUCACUACCGGUUGUGUAUUGAUCCGGUACUAAUAUGAGCAUUAGUAUCGAGCCUAACGGUUAGUCCUCGAGGAGCUCCCCAUGACCCCCUUCAGUACCGGACGGAGGUUUCACCCGGUACUAAAGGUCACAAAUUAGUACCGGUUGAAGCCUCCAAUUGAUACUAAUAUGCCUGAGGGCCUUUAGUACCGGGUGGAGCUUCCACUCAGUAUUAAUUGGUGGGUGGGGAUUCGAAAUUUGAACUUCCCUGUAUUGAAGUUCGCACUCGUCUGCUCCUCUCUCCGUCUUAUCCGCUCCUAACUCUCCCGAAUGGCCUCCCUCUCUCUCCCUUCUCUUCCCCCAGCCGGGUCCUUUCUCUUCCCUCGGUCCUCUCCUCACCGGAUCCCAUUCCAAGCACCCCUCCCCUCUCCUCACGGCUGCCCCCUCCCCUCGCCCCUCACUGCAAUGCCGGUGAUGAGCGGCGGCAGGGCGAGGUGAGGCGCAGCACGGCGGUGGGAGGAGAGCACAGGCGGAGUGGCGGGCGACAGCGCGUGGAGCAGCAGCGGGCGAUGGUGUGUGAAGCAGCAAGAUCUGCUACAUGACACGGAUCUGUAGGGUAGCGCGGUGGGAGAGCGUGGAGGCACGGUGAGGGCGGCGGGAUCUGAGGGGUGGCAGCGCGGCAGGACAAGUGGAGUGUGUCGCGAGGACGGCCGACCGGGCGAGGGGGCCAAGCGCGAGGCUGCCGGCAGGGGGUCGCGGGGGAGGCGAGGUGGCGGGGACGAGGGCCGAGACCAGGCUCAGCCGACAAAGGAGGAAGGGAGGCUGGCGAUGUCGGGGAUAGAUCCCAAUUACCCGCAAGGAAAGAAGAAAACAAACUCCUACUAGGAUCCUCUGUAAUCCUACUAUGACUCAUACAUUGUAACCUUACUAGGACUCCUACCUUGUAACCGACUAGUCAUCAUUUUUGUGUUUCUUAUUUUCUACUAAUCAUGGUAGGUGAUACGAAGAUUUUUGAGCUGUUGAAACUAGACCCUCAUAUUCAAGAUGUCAUUCAACACUUGCCAUUAUAUGAUGGUAAGUUUGAUCCUAAAGCUAUAUUGAUUGGGAGCUAAAAGUAGAUAAUGAAUUUGAUGAGCAUGACCUGUCCGAGAAAUAAAAAAUUUAUAUUGCCUCUAAUAUUUUGAUUGAAUAUGCUUUACUAGAAUGGAAACACAUUUGUGGGCACAACAAAGUUUCAGAAUCUUAGGAAGACUUCAAAUUUCUUCUUAAAGAUGCAUUUAUUCCUAAAAUUAGACAAUUUGAAGCAAGAUAGUAGGACUGUGAAAGAAUACCAUCAUGUCUUCAAGAUUUGUGCCAUGUUUGGUGGUUUAGAUGAGUGUAAGAAAGAUAUAAUGAGUAGGUUUAUGAGAAGGCUCAAUUCUGAAAUUCAAACCAUGCUAAUUUCUAAAACUUAUAAACACCUCUCUAUCUUAUUUUUGCUUGCUUAUAAAGCUGAAAAUUAGAUUUUAUUAUCUAGAAAUACUUGCAAGAACAAUGUGACACAUGGUAAUACUUUUUCCUCCACUACACAUCCUAAUCAAGAGCACAAAAUAGUAGAAUUUGCUACUGAUUUGCCUAUGUUGCAACGUGAUUUGCUUGAUGUACCUUGUGACAACGAAGAGUUGUGUGAUAUGUCUUCUCUUCACCAUAAUUAGUGAUAGAGCACUCUCUUGUUCCUUUUAUUGUCCAUGACACGGAGGAUGGGAACAAUUUUAUUGAGUGCAUUGAGCAAAUUGAGCAACUACACCCACUGCUAAACUGUGAAAAUAAUGAUUGUGCAGCACCUACCACGUCGGAGGAGAGCGAGCAAAGCAACACAUUCGAUGCUGAAAACACUCCCUGUGAGUAUGCUUAUAAUACUCUGCAAUUUCCCACUACUGGUGCUAACCUCGCACGGGUUUUAGUAUAACAUCCUACUGAGUAUGCCUUACCACGAACCGAACACUUUUCUCAUAAUGAUAAGGAGUUGUUUAAAAAUGUUUCUUAUAUACUACAAACACAACUUAAGCAUGAACAUGUUAAAUUUGUUUUGAAUGAUGUACAUGUCAUUUCUAUACAUGUUCAUUGCCUUGCUAGCAAGAAGGAAGAGCUGAAACUUCUGUCCUAUUUUAACACAUUAGGUUAUAUUGAAUUAGAAAUUCUUUGUAAUCUAGAUUGUCUAAAAAUGGAACUUAAAUUCGAUUCUGGUUUGCCAAGUUUUAAUCAUUAUUCGUUUCAUGCAAUUGGCAAAUAUGAUAGCAAAAAAGAAUAUUUGAUGCAUAAAAUGUAUAUUUUCUCUAAUCUGAAAUAUCUUUUUGGGCUACAAUACCAUAAUCAAAUAGGAGGCUGCACUAACACUAAUAAUAUCUUGCAAAAUUUUUCUAAUUUUUGCCUUAUGCAACGAGGUAAGCUUGAAGAAGGGGAGCAUUGUUGGUUGUGGUCGUGCAGCAUAGCCGUUGCUCCGUGUUCCAACAUUAAAACAAGUAUCUUUGAAUGUCAUUGGAGCAAAUCAAGGAUGACUUGCAACCAAGAAUGGGAGAAUGAUGAGGACAUCACCUGCUCGGAUACAACCACAUUGGCAACUUUUGAUUCAAAGGUGAAAUAAUUCUUUAUCAUGAUUGUAUUUGAUACAUUUGAUGAGUUGAUGCUGCACCAUAAUUUGUGUUCAUUGUUAUUUUCAGAAAUAUAUACGUGGAUCAAAAAGAGUGUUAAACACACAUGGAAGGCAUGGAAGAUCAAAAAAGUUCAUUGGGGACCAAGUCUAAAUAUUUCCAAUGUCCUCCACCAGGCCACCACGUCACUUUUGGGCUAAGGAAAGAAAGAGAUCAAAUCCAACACGUUUUGGGGCUGGAUUCGGACUGCAGCACUGCACCAACUUGUGACAGCCGCCAAGACUUCAUCUGGACUUCGUUUUGGACGUUCAAGUACUUGAUGGAAACCUUAUCAAGUCUACUUUCAUAUGGAUCUGGACUCAUGUCCAUAUCUGCUCUGAGGCAGCCACAAUCGUUGAUUUACUACAGAGAUCUUUUCUAUCCACGGUGCUGCGUUACCUGAUUAUGUCCCGAUGGGCCGUGUAUCAAGUGGGGCCUAAUAGGGGUGCGUCCUAGGGUUGUAGGAUGACCCCCACCAUGUCCUGAUUGUCCUCUACCCUCUCGUAUACCACCAUAGCCGCCACAAACAGAUUGGAUUUUGUUUAGAUGUAAGUUUAGCCAUUGCUACUUCCUUGUAGACGUGUGUGUCAACUAAACCAUCCGUUCUACUCGAUUCAGAACCCCAACUUUGUGAUUUCAGAUUGGUUUUUAUCUCCAUAUUUGUAAUUAAGUUACUUGUUCUACUUAUUCUUACCUGUUCCUCGAUUGCUUGCAGCAAUUACCCUAGUGGUUUGGUUGAUCGUACUUCACAAGAUCGCAGCGACCAUCGGAGGUGGUGUAUCGGUUGGUAAGGUACAACAUCCUUAGAUGAUUGUAGUCAGGAUGUGAACGUCAUCUACAUCCCCAAAUCAAGUUAUCCUUGAAUGAUCCCCUUUAGCACCGAAGACUGAUACUAAAAGGGGUUUGGACCUGGUACAAAAGCGCACACCCAGCAGUGUGCGGCUACCUACCUACCCAUCCAUGUCUUGUCCGAACCUAGCUUGGCAUAAUGCCAUGGACAUGCAUUGUUUAUUUGUUUUGUUGCCCGGCUCGUGCUAGCUCUUCCGUCGUCGUCUCGACCGUCAUCGACAGUGUCACUGACGGUGUGUCUGCUUGAAUCGAUAGAUCAUAACGAUCACUGCCCUCGUUAUUUGCACACACGGCGUGUCGUCUUCAAAGUUAACAAAAAUACGACAUCUCCUCGAACCAAUGCAUCAUUAGGCAGGCACUUAGCACGCACGCAUGGUUCUUCAUAGUUUUUCUCCCCGUAUAUAUGUACAGGCACGUACACACAUGGUUCGUUAAGAAUCAUGCAAACUACGAGCGCAUCCAUCUCGUAUCGUACGCCGUCCAUCGUCCGGGGUCCGAGGAGCUAGCGACCAAGCCAAGCAAGCCCAUCGACCUUGGUUCCAGCAAAAGCUUUCCAUCGUUUUCUUGUUUCCUUCAGCCUACGUGCGGUAGCAUGUGUAUUGUGUACUUCCCACUCGCGUGGAAAUUCCAGGCAUGUUUUUUUUCCCGUAUAAAAAAAUGUGUGGCUCUUUUUUUUUCUUCAGGAAAUUACAAGGGCCAGCUAGCAAAAGUGAAAUUGAAGGAGGAGGGAGUACUCUUACACAGCUAUAUGGUACUACGGAGUACUAUGCACGUGUGCAGUAGGAAAUUCUCCGAUCAAACUUUGAUCACCGCACAUAUAUUAUUGCAGUUACCUACUUGUCCUCGGAACCCAACAAUUUCCCAGUUCACGUUUCUUCGGACAGCCAAAUUAGCCUAUACGUAGUUCGCUCUGAAUCAGAACUAUAUGUAAUCAAAAUUCUUACCUUUACUCUCCCUAGCUAGUUUGUUUUUAUAUUCUGAUAGAUUGUUCUUUUUUUUUGUCAAAGAUUAAAAAAAAGGACCAAGAGCCGUUCCACUCAACGAAGAAGAAUAUAUUAGGAGCACUUGAAUUCGAGCUAAAAUUGACCAAGUAGAGCCUCCUAGUCUGACUGCAUUUCCUACCACCUCUACUGCUUACUAGUAUUUGUUCAUUACAGACUCCAUAAUCGCGCGCCAAUUUAGACGAAACCAAAACACCAGUUGCUACAAAUUCUCGCCAGCUAGCCUUCCUACUUGGACAUGUCCGGCCGCUCAGCCAGCACGGCGUACGCGACCUCGCUCCGAUCUGAACAUUAUUGCAUUGUAAAGAAAGACGGCCCGCCCUAGUUCAUGGAGCUGGAAGCAAUGCAAUCGUCGUCGUCGUCCCCAAGAAAGCAGUCAGUCACCUCCUUUUUCGUAGCGACAACACCAACAAAAGCAACUGACAAGACCACGGACAUCAUUCCAAUUUUCAAACUCGACGGGCACCUGCGGCCUCCAAGUUCAAACGUUUUUUUUAAUCCCGUGGCCGGAACGGAUUGACUUUGACUUUCUCUCGAGUCUCGAUCGUGGCAGCAGAAUGAAUACGACCAUUCGUGUUGACACUUGACAGCUCCAGUAUUCACUUUUGGCUUGCGAUAAACUUCAAGCAAACGCGUCAUGGAAUCCCGUCCGUCCGUCCUGCACGGCUCUUAACUAUUCGCCUAACUCGUAUGCUUGUUUUCUUCCAAACUUAGCAACAAAAAAUAUAAAUGGAGCGCCUAAAGCAAGAUUUCCAUGCGAUUUUCGGCACAUUCCGAAUAAUCCUGAUGCCCUGAUAUGAUAUGAUAUUACAUGACGCGAGAGUGCAAUUUCAAGCUGCAAUCCAGAGCUCGAUCAACGUAGCGUGCGUGGAAAAGGGGAAUUGGAAAGAGACGCAGCAGCUCGAUCGAUCGAGCACUCCAGGUCUACAGCGUCCAGCUCUUUUUCAAGGCUGGAAGGCGAGGAGGGAGGUACCACGGUUUGGUGCAGGUCGUUGGGGCCCGACCUGAAAGCCGUCCGGCCACCAGCCCCGGAGCCGUGCACGUGGCCACCGCCACCUGCCACGGCCAGCCAGCCAACCACGGCGUCCUCUCUGGCCCUCUCCCUCUCUCUCCCCCGGAACAAGAAAAAGAAAAGGAGGCAACCCGCCUGCUUCGCGAAGCUACCACCGGUUCCCAAACUGCCCCUAGAACUGUCAGCAUCGGCGGGCGGGGCGCGUGCCGACGGGCGGAGGCGGAUCACGGUGGCGCCGCGGCCAUCUGGCAAUCUGGCAUUGCCUCGCGACAGCGCGGGUCAAAGGCAGCCGCGACGACGCGCGCCGCCUGUCACCUCGGACGACGAGGGAAUUCGAUUCACCCCGUUGGCUGAACCAGAUGAGACGAGAUGGGAUUUUUGCGUGCGCUCCGGCGUGUUGCCGCCGCGCGGCAUGUGGCCGCACGCCGGUUGCGACGGGCGGGCCAAUCGUGUGCUCCCCGACGUUGAAGCUUUUGGUUAGCAGCGUUCUGACGUCGAAGGCUCGAAGCUGACGCUACAUAUUGCAUUUGCAACAUAUAAGUUUUUUUAAUAAGUUUUUCAAGGGAAACUUUUCUCCUUUUCUUUUCCCCCUCAAGGCGUAGGGCACCCUUUCAAUUGUUAUAAUGGGCAAAACAUAGCACUUUUAUUUUGCUUGUUUCUCCAGGAGUUCAAGGUUAGCAUUCUAGUAUUUUUCUAUUCUAAGAGGGAAUGCCCGUGGUUUUCUUGAUGAGAUCGAAGCACCUAUUUUUGUCUUAGUUCAUGAGUUUCUAGUUUUCCAAUACAAUUUUACUACUACUUAAAAUAUUCAAUUGACAUGUUCCAAUCGUUGCAUCAUAAAGAAGGAUGUGCCUUAUCGAAGUACAGUGUUGGUAAAUUUCUAAUGAAAUAAAUAGGAAAUGUUAAAACAUGUGAAUUAAGGUUCCCAUAUGUUCUACCAUGUUUUUUUACUUUUUGCAGAAUGUUCUGCCAUGCUUAUUAGCCUCCAAGUGGUUGUUGAAUGACAAUAAUCAAUAUCUGGACAAUAGCGAGGUGAGCACAUUUCAGUAGCAUUCUAAGAAAUUGACGGGUCUUGUUGUUGCUAGUAGCUAGUAGCUAGAAGAAGCGGAAGAAUUGGAGCUGAUUGCGAACCGUGCCCCUAUUGUUUUUGCAAUGUCUUUUGUUGCAUGGAAUUGUAUUUAUGUGGAGAAUUUUUUUUAGAAGUCACGGGACGAAAAGUUCCCACCUGAAUUUCAUUAAACCACAGAUGUCGGAGUAGCCGGUGAUGAUUUAGGUGCAAGGCACCUUACAAGCAUUGGACGGCUGAGCAGCCAGAUGAGUACAAUUUUAGAGAAGAGAAAGAAACAACAGGGUGCAACACCAAAACAAAGCUCACAAACAAUUCAAAGACGAGGUAUGACACAGUUGAGAGACAACCAUUGAUUGUCAAUUUGCGCCACCACCGAACAAAGUACUCGCCGCUUGCACCAUGGCCAUUGCACCCUGCACCACCCCUCGUAGCUACGCCGCCCCGCUGCUGCCCUCCAUCUGAGUGACCCAAUGGAAUGGGGACUAAAGGUAGUGAAGGACACACAAGCCUAAGAUCACCGAAAACGACGGUCUCCUUUGAAGCCGAUGAAGACACCGAAAGCACCUCCGGACUCCACGUACCAUCAUCCAACGCCGUCCAAGGGGAGGGAUCCUUGAAGGGGCAUGGCGGAAGCGGUGGAAACACCACCCGACAUUUGAUUUUCUAUCAACCACCAACAGGAGCACGUCGACGAAGCAGAGGUGUCGAGGAGUGACACUCACUGAACCACAACAGCAGGCAACCACUAGAACCAACCUCACCAGUGAGGUGCAGGGAGGAAGAAGAAGAAGGCACAAUGCACUUGUACACUUAUGUACACAAGGCACUGAAUGUAAGUGUGGCACUUGUGUUCUAGAAAGCCUCGUUUAAAAUGCAUCAACAUAUUUACUAAGUACUGGCUACUGCCAUGACAAUCACCAAUCAUUCACAGCCGUUUCACAUCAGAAACAUCGCUUUCUUUAGCUUUACCAUCCACGAGUAUAUGUGUGGUCGAACCAAUUUCGCGUAGAACCAUCGGACCGAGAACACACAAAAACCUGGACCGGUGGUGGCCGGGGCCCACCCGCGCUGCCCUAGGCUGACAAAACUGCGCGCGCAGGGGUAUUCCCGUCCUUCGGCCACGACCGUAUCCCAUACGCACACGUACCCCGUGAGGCCGUACCCCGUGUGUAUAUAUGCUGCACGCAGCACCGCGGCUUCCACUAACGGCUCUGCGUCGUGGCCGCGUUGCAGAGAAACAGAGGGGAGACAGGAGAGGGGAGGAAAAAAAAACUCGUGUAUCUCUCUCUCUCUCUCUCUCUCUCUCUCUCUCUCUCUCUCUCUCUCCCCCCGUCUCGCGUGUGAGGUGGCGAGCCCGAGGAGCGGAGGCCACAAGUCCAAUCCGCCCGUAUCUAAUCCGCUCGAGCGCCGGGAGGAGGAGGGGGAGCGGGAGCGGCGGGGCGGGCCUUCUUGAUUCGGGGCUCGUUCUCCUGUGCUUCGAGGUGAGUUCCCGGCGAUCUGCUAGCUACGAGUUUAUCCGGUGGGGUUUGGGGUGGCGGAUUCCUGGCUGCAUUCCGGUUUCGUGGGUACUUAGAUCUGGCGGUUUCUCGCGUGGAGUUCUGUCCGUGCCGGGAUGCUGGGGAUUUCUGUUACAAUCCGUGUUUCUUCGGGUUCAAAUUCGCGGGAAUCGCUGGGGCUUGCGUGUAAUGUUUGGUUUUUAGGCGGUGUUUUGCUUGGCAUGAAUUGGUCAUGAACAAUGCUACGGUUUCGGAUGUCGGGUCCGUGUGGAUUCGCCGGCAAUGUGCCUCUGUUCUUGCAAAAAACAAACGGAGCUUUUCUGCGAUGCGUUCCGUUUAAUUGGAUUGGGAACGUUACCCAGCUGGCUUGAGCUGUAUUGUUAGAAGAAAAGGUGAGAUUUCUCUGGGCUAGCGGGCAGCUGUUUGCCCCCAAAACACAUCCUGGCCCCAAAGUUGAAAUGUUUAUCUAAUGGAGGGGCAUUGUCCCUCACUUCCGAAUUGAUUCGUGUGGGCUCAGCUCGUUUUAAUAUCCUUUGAUACUCGCCUUCUUUUGCCCCCUAAAGCUACAUCUUUUAGCAGCUGUAUGCCUGGAUCCGGUGGCUUAUGGCUGAAUUUAUGCCCGUCUAAUUUCAGAAAAUAUUUGUGUUCUCAUAUUUUCUGUAUCACAUAUUGAAAUGUUUAUUGCUUCUUUCUGUAGCUAUAUCGAUUCUGGAAGCCCCAAAGUGGGAAUUUUUAGCCAUCGUAGUCACACAAUAGUUGUGUUCCCUUAAGAGAUCCUAUUCACGAGAAUGCAAUGGAAAAUAGGGGGAAAAGCUGCACAUGUUAUAUCUUCUCAUGAAGCUUUUGUUUCUGUUGAUUCUUUCUUCAGGUUGGCACUUUGGGUGUACAAUCUCAGCUUCUUUGAAUUCCGAAGCACGGUUGAACCAUGGCCGGGUCCCUUGCAGCCUCAGCUUUCUUCCCUGGCCCAGGGGCUUCCCCGGCAGCGGCCGCCAAAACAUCGAAGAACAUGGCUGGCGAAUUACCGGAGAAUUUGAGUGUCCGUGGUAUUGUCGCAAAGCCUGGCGCCCCUUCUGGGAACAUGCAAGUGAAGGCUCAAGCACAGGCCCUUCCCAAAGUUAAUGGCACCAAGGUUAACCUCAAGAAUGCGAGCGCAGACAAGGAGGAGGUGAUACCCUACAGUGCUCCCAAGACAUUCUACAACCAACUGCCAGAUUGGAGCAUGCUUCUUGCGGCUGUCACUACCAUCUUCCUGGCAGCAGAGAAGCAGUGGACAUUGCUUGACUGGAAGCCCAAGAAACCUGACAUGCUUGUUGAUACAUUUGGCUUUGGUAGGAUCAUCCAGGACGGGCUGGUGUUUAGGCAGAAUUUCUUGAUUCGGUCCUAUGAGAUCGGUGCUGAUCGUACGGCUUCUAUAGAGACGUUAAUGAAUCAUUUACAGGUGACAUGAUUACACCAUGAAAUUUCAGUUUCUCUAUUAACUAUCGGUGCAUUUGGUUUCUUUGAGGCUCACACUAUCUUGAAUUUUUCAGGAAACAGCUCUAAACCAUGUGAAGACAGCUGGCCUUCUUGGAGAUGGUUUUGGCGCCACGCCAGAGAUGAGCAAGCGAAACUUGAUCUGGGUUGUCAGCAAAAUUCAGCUUCUUGUUGAGCAAUACCCCUCAUGGUACGUUUCUGGAAACCGUAAAUUACCUUGUCCAUUUCUUAGAAAGCACGUAUUUGUCUUUGCUUUCAAUCAAAUUUGUAACCGUUACUCUUUACGAUCUUUAUGGAAUUGUUUAUUUUUUAUCCUUUGGCAUGCAUAAUUUCUAAAUUAAGUUCUGUGUGUGCUAGAAUAGUGUUAUUAUAUGUUAGUAAAUUAGCUCAAGAAAAUGCCCUAAAAAAUAGCUCAAGAAAAAUGUUCUAUAGCUCAAUUUUUCUGGACUGAUUGUUGUGCAUUUUGUAGAUAGAUCGAUCAUGAAGCUUUAUACUACAUAGUGUGAAAACUUCUUAAGUAAUUCUUGCGGUAUGCACUUAGCUUACUGAAGAUUAGCAACACAAAUAGUGUUCGAUUGCUCAUGAUCCACCCUUGGUACAACUAACAUGGUCAAGUCUGCCAAUCUGUGGUUUCUUGAUUAAAAGAGCAGGACUCUGGAGUUGUGCCUCUUUAAUCGAUGGAUUCAAUGUUUACCUGAAGAUAAAAAUGUGCACGUGGUGUGCUUAAGUUUUACUAGUAAAUAGAAUAAUACUAACUAGCAAUUAGAAGCUUAAGAAAACAACUUCCCUACCAAUUUGCUGAUUUUAUUGGCCUGCAGGCUGCACAGAUGAGCAAGGUUAUUGCUCUCUUUUUCUUUGCCUGUUACUCUCAUAGCCUGCAUAAUGCGGCACCUUAAAAUGAUCACUGCGCCCAAGCAAAACACUGUUAGGUGUCUUAUAUUAGUAUAAAACUAUUGUUCGGCAUGAUUGAGUCUGUACUCAGUGAACAAUUUGGAAGUUUUUUGGUUAAAAGAAACAUCUAGGUGUUGGAAGUUCAUUUGUUUGGUAGGGUAAUAUAUUAAUGGCUUAGGACUGCUGAAUUAAGUGGCAUUUGUCCAUGCCUCUUGAAUGUAUGAAUAAAAAAGAUCCGAUAAAUUGUACACCACAAGAGAUCUGAAGUGGCCUUUAUUGGUGAAUCAUCGUAAGAAAUAAAUGUUGUGGGCUGCCAUUUCCUUGAUCUGGAUCGUAGACUCACUGCAUUUAAUUCGCUAUUUAAUUUGAGUCCUCAUAAAAUCAGUAGCUGCUACAAAUUUCUGUAAGAUUGUGUAUAAUGCGUGGGUUGUAUUGCAUUGAGCCUCGAGGGCGAAUAUAUAGGGGUACAAGACUUGAGGGGCAAGAAGCCUCCCCGAGAUAUUUCCUAUACUACCAAAUAUAGUCUAACACUUUCAUUUGUUCAACUGGCAAGUCAUCCGAUUCUAAGUAUACCUUGUUGAAGAAAAGGAAAAAUAAUUUCAACAGCAGUUUUUGUGGUUCAGAUAUAGUUUCGGACGCUCUUUUAUGGGCUGCAAAUUGCAUGAUAUUUUUUAAAAGAAAACUUUCUGUAAUUUUAGGGGAGAUAUGGUUCAAGUGGACACAUGGGUAGCUGCUGCUGGCAAAAAUGGCAUGCGUCGAGACUGGCAUGUUCGUGACUACAAUUCUGGCCGUACGAUCUUGAGAGCAACAAGGUCUGGAAUUUUAUCUGUUUUUGCAUUUAUCGGUUCUCUUUUUGAUGAGGAAGGGCUCUCAGAUUAUGAUCUGCUCCUUACCUUUUGAAUUUUGGGUGCAGUGUUUGGGUGAUGAUGAAUAAGAACACUAGAAGGCUUUCGAAAAUGCCAGAUGAAGUCAGGGCUGAGAUAGGUCCAUAUUUCAAUGGUCGCACAGCCAUAUCAGAGGAUCAAAGUGAGAAGUUGGCGAAGCCAGGAAGCGCAUCUGAUGGUGACGCUGCGAAGCAGUUCAUGAGGAAGGGGCUCACUGUAAGUUACAUCCAUGCUUUCUUGCUUUGCUGCUGUUGUACCUCGGUUAUCAUGAUUUUUCCAUGUGUUAAGAUUUCUCAUGGAACUCCAUUAUGUGUAACAGCCUAGGUGGGGAGACCUUGAUGUCAACCAGCAUGUGAAUAAUGUCAAGUAUAUUGGUUGGAUUCUUGAGGUAAUUUCUUCCAGCCCUACCACUUUUCAUCUUAUUUAAUGGCCACUGCCCUGGCCAUGUGAUGGUUGAUAAGAUCUCACUGGCAUGACUUAAAGUUUAUAAAGUUUUGUGCAAUUGUUUUGUAGUAUAACUGACUGCUAGCACAUAAUCAAUUGGCUACCUGUACCUGUAAAGUAGAUUUUUUUUAAUGAAGUGAUCCAUGCAUCGAUGUUCUUAAUCUUUGCAUAUUCCUGAGGUGAUCAGAUGCCUGAAUCCUUAUCAUUUCACCUUUUAUUCCCCCCAGAGUGCACCUAUUUCAAUCCUGGAAAAGCACGAGCUUGCGAGCAUGACACUGGACUACAGGAAGGAGUGUGGCCGCGACAGCAUCCUGCAGUCACUCACCACCGUGGCAGGUGAAUGCGUGGAUGGUGCAGAUUCCACCAUCCAGUGCGACCACCUGCUACAGCUGGAGUCAGGGGCCGAUAUCGUGAAGGCACACACGGAAUGGCGGCCCAAGCGGGCGCACGGCGGCGAGGGGAACAUGGGGUUUUUCCCAGCCGAGAGCGCAUGAACAUCCCCCUGAAGCUGAACCGGCCGAGCAAGAACGUGGUGGGGGCUCCUGUAUGUGAAGCGCGGAUCCUAAGUUAUGGCUACUAACCCAGAACGAGUGUUUGGUCGUGAGAAGUUUGGCUUGCUGGGGAACGCCGCAUUACCCACCCAACCUGGGACAGUGUAAGGACGGAAGCUGCGAGAGGAUUGGAGGAGGAUGGUGAAGCCCAGGAGGAGAGGAUGAGAAAGGAGCUUGUGUUAUUAGGACAGCAAAACGGGAGGGUGACUGAGUUGUGCUGUGAUACGCCGAUUGCUGAAUCAAGGAGCCAGGAGCUGAUUUGGGGCCGGAGAGCAAAAGAUUGUGCUGCAGGGGACUGUUAGUAGUGGUUUUAGGCCAGGUUGGGCGUGUAGGAGGCAUUCCCUUUUGUAACAGCCUAAUUUGUACAUUCUUACCAUCUUAUCCUAUCCUAUUGGUUGGUUGAAUCGCAGCCCUCCUGCGCUUCCAUCCACGAUGAAUCCAGGACCAUUUCGUGUACCGUUGUGUGUGCAGAGUGGGGUCGUUCGUCUAUGACUGCAGAUCGCAGUGCCACUAGAUCUGCAUCCUCCCUGAAGCUGCUUCGUCAAGCUAGUCUUCCUGUCCUUUUUCUUUAUUUCUCAUGGAUGGAAGGUCUAACCGUGCGGUUCCUGGAUGGAGCAAGGUACAGCGACGUGUAACCUGGCAUGGGUUUCUUCACACCGUCUCCGGCUGUUGGCGUGCGCGCUUGCAACGACUUGUUUGGUGAGAUGCGGUGACGGGGAUCAUGGAUUCAUGGGCAAGGGCAACGGCACUGCACGGCAGGCCGCGAAGAGACCUGGAGAGAAAUGGAGGGGGGUGAGGAGGUGUCGUGAGGCGUCAGGCAACGCGAAAGGUUGGGUCGCGGAGCUGGCGGUGGUUGUGGCCGGCCGUUUGGGUGGCGCCGGACGGCGGAGGCACAGAGAGCUGGACGGCCGGGCGGGCUGCCGGACCGAACCAGCCAACCACCCGCAUUUGGUGCGCUGAGCUGGGCUGGGCCCCGUGACAGCAGCAACGCCACCCGGGCAAGCCAAGCUACUGUGUGGCUGUGAUCGCCGGCGCCGCCCGAAAAGGGUUCUGCCCCCGUACGAGGAUGCUUCCGUUUCUGAUCAAAGCAUCGCACGUGACUGAAGCCAAGCAAUGACUGUUAAUUAGUUCACCAUGGGUCUUUGGAGUUGGAGGUAAAAAACUCAAAAGUGACAAGCAUCCGCAUAGGCGCAGGCGCACAGCUGGUAUCUGUUCCUGGCGGCAAAAAAGGCACGCGGUACCGCCGCCGCCGCGCCGGCGUGGCCUGAUGGAUGAUGGCGACGUACGGCAGCAGUUCUUGUCCGCUGGCCGCCAUCAGCGCGCGGCGGGAGGCUGAUGGCGACGGGCGCCGGCUCGAUGGGUCUCUCGCCGGAGCGGGGAUCGCGAGCCCCAGCGGCCGGCACGCCGCGCGCACAUGGAUGGGAUGGGAGUGAUGGACCGCUCCGCUGCUGUCCGGUGUCGCGCGGUAGCUAGCAAAGCUAGAUCGCGUGAUGGCGAACGACGGGGGGACCCCGGCCGGGUGGGCUUCAAGCUCGCCGUCCGUGUCCGUCCCAGGCAUUGAAUCCGAUCCCCGGUGGCCUGCGAACGUACCCGCGCUGCGAGCCUGCGACGCACGGACACGAUCGGAUCGGCCGGGCAGCGGCUACUGUUUGCCCCCCAGCGACCCCUGCCACGGCACAGGAAUGGGUGGUUCGCGCAUUCAUCGUCUGCCGGCUAUGCGCCUACUGUCCUCAGCUCACUGCUCGCCGUGAUCGGGUGCACUGGUGCCGCCGCCGCUGGCCAUGCUCAUGGUGGCAUGCUAGUAGGGUCCCAACCGGACCAUGAGGGGUGCGUGCCUCGCGCGGCUUUCGUUCUGCUUACACUUUACAGGCUGCUCGUGCGUUCCUUGCCCACAGCAAGGUCAGCAGGUACAGUACAGUGCGCUUGUGUGUGCAAUUGUGGCGCAACGGAGGACAAUGGGAAGUGAGGGAUGCUGAGGAAUCACUCACGGCGAUGCUAAUCGCAGCUCAGACUGCAUUCAGGAUUAUGUGGCCUGACCGACCGAUCUUGGAGCAGUGAGUUUGCUUUGGCCCUCUGUUGACAGGGAUCUUCAGUCCAUCAGGACACAAAAGAACUAGUGAUAAAAAAGGAACCAAAAAAAGAUGGCGGUCUGUUGCAGUAGGACUUUGGGCCUACAGCGGGCUCAUGGUGCAGCAGCCUGUUAUCCUCCCACCGUUGGAAGCGGGCAGUGAUCGCUGCUCUGUGAAGCCAGCCUCACGCUAUUCCUGCCACUUUAGGCCCAGGGAGGCCCAAGACAUUCGUCUAAGCCCCACCAGCCACUACAAACUUGGAACGGGCAGGCCAGCUUAGGCACAACCACGGGCCCAGGACCAAAUUCCGCACCCAACAUCCACGCCACCUUGAUGCCCCCACUUGGGUCACAAGCUCUCGCUACUGAGCUCGGCGAGGGUGGGUUGCCGGGGUGGGAAUUUAAUCUGGUUCUG